rnacentral:lncRNA from 1 species
UCUUUAUCUCUUAUUUAAAAAAAAAAAAGGAAAUUAGAAGAGAAAGUUUUAAAUGAUGGACAAACACUCCUAAAAAGUGGGUACCGGACACCGGAUGGUUUAAACCAAAAAAAAAAAAAUGAAAAUCAAAGAAUUUUCUUAGUUAAUUUGUUUGUAGUUUAAAGAGGAAGUUGGGGGAUUUUUUAAAAUUUUCUUUUCCUAUUAUAUACUUCUAUAAGAUUAAGGAAAAGAAAGGGGACAUCGAAAGAAAGAAUUAAAAUUCCUUUUCACGCUUAUUGUGUAAAGACAGAAAGAAUGCAAUUAAAAAAUUAAUCAAAUUGAAACUAAUAGAAUAUCCAAAUAUGAAAUAUAAUAUUUAAAUUUCAAAUUUGACACUAUCAUGAGGGUUUAGGUUCCAUGCAAGUAGAAAAUUCUAUCCAUACGUGGAAAUUCAAAAAAUAACUACUUCUUUCGUUUCAAAUUAGUUGUCAUGUUUCGCUUCUAGACAGUUAAUUUGACUAAUUAUUUAAGCUAAAGUACGUAGAUUAGAUCAACACAAUAUCUUAAAAUGAAAAUUUAACAUAUUACUAUACAAAAACUACUACAGUUGCAAUAUUUCUCAUGUCAAAAUUAUGAAAAUAUACACGACUUAGUUUAACUCUUGAAAAACAAAACAUGACAAUUAAUUUAUGAGGAGGAGAGUAAUAAUCAGAUGAAACAACAUUAAUCAUCAUAAAUUCUCAUUGAUCAUCGACAAAGUUAAUUACAUAAUGCACAUUUUGAAUAUAAUUGAAGACAUCCAAAACUGGCAAUCAGCAAAUAUAUAAAGCUCCCAUUAUUGAAUACUGAGUUGAAUUUAACUAUAUAGACUGACAUCACAAUUUUUUUGUUUUCAUAACUUAAACUCUUACAAACAUAAUGUACAUACUAUACAAGCAAUAAAAACAUUAUUACUAAUAAUACACCACACAUACGUCCAUGUAACGUUGCAUGCUCAUCAUUUGUCCUACAACAUAUUUUCCGAUGGCGCGGUCACCGCAAUUCCAAGAACCGGUGAGUACUCCCUCACCUCCGGCAAAUACAUCGUCACCGGAGACCGUUGACGAUGCAUUGCCAAAACAUAUGAAGCAUCCAAUUUAAUAGCAAUAUUGACAACUCCAUGACCUCUUGAACCAUCUUUAUUUCUUAACCUAUAACUAAAUUGCCUAACAAAAUCUACUGGAAUUAACCCAUCGAAAACAUCGGUAGGUGAAAUCAUACACCACCCUAGUUCACUCUUACCCUUAAGGAAAUUUUUAGAAUAUAGUUGAAUGUAUAUACAUAUAUGUCCAUGUAAAAAUAGACUAGGGUUAAUAGAUAGAUGAAAUUUAUCGCCCCACGUAGGGUUAUUAUUAUUGUUGUUGUUAUUGCUGCUGCUAUUGUCACCUAUAUUUUCAUCAAUGCUUGUUGUGUGAACUUCGGUGACGGUGGUGGUGUUGGUGGAGGUGGUAGGGACCGUGGACACGGUGGCGUAAGGGCGGAGCCGCCACGGCCAAGUGGGGGUGUUCUUGAGGUCAUGAGCUGAUAUGAUAGUGAUUUCCAUGGAACAAAAAAAUAAAAAUAUAAAAGAGAAGAAGAAAUUAAAGAAUUAUGUGUAUGAUGCAAUUUGAAUUUUGAUGGCUGUUUUAAUAAUAACGUGGGACGAUACACCCAUGCAACUUCGCAUGUGGAAAAUUUUUUUGGUGGAUUUGAAAUGUAAACGUUAAAUACUUUGUCACUCAAAAUUUACGUGUUAUCAUGGUCGUUUAUAUGACUAUAAAUAUCAUUCACAACAAUAAUAAUAUAUCUGAUAUAUUUGGUAAAUUCAUAAAUCGGAGUUUGGGUAGGGUAAAAUGUACACGAACCUUACCUCUACUACCUCAGCGAGAGAUUGUUUCAAACAAACUCUCGAUAAUAAAUCAUCUAAUCAAAAAUAAAUAUUGAAAUUUACAACAAUAACAUACCUAAUAGAAUUUCUUAAAGUGUUUGAAGAGGAUAUAGAUUAGAGUGUACACGGUCUUUACCCUAUUUCAGAGGUAGAGUGCGAGGUUGUUUUGGAUAGAUAAUCCUCGGAUCAUAAAUAUUAAAUUUAAAAUUAAAUUAUUUUUAAAUAUAAAAAAAUGAUAUCUUUUAACUACCAACACUAAAAAAAAUAUGUCACAUUAAUGGAGAUAGAGGAAGUAAAAGGCCAGCUGUUUGGAUUUAAUGUGUAAAUAGAGGAAAAUUCUUCAAUAGAUAUAUGUGAGUUGUGACCUAAAAUAUAAAAAGUGGCCAACCAUUUGAAAAUUAAUUAGUCUGAAAAAAAAUGAGGCCCACGACAAUAUUUUUACUCUAUGAAUUCUUUCUAGGAAAUAACUAGCUAGUUGAUGCACUUGCAAUAAGAUGAGCAUUGAAAAAAAAAUGAAGAAAAUUGUUUGUUUUUAAAUAUAUUUCAAUGCCCUAUCUCCUAAAACAUUAUGUGCACAAGACUAGUUGGAGUGUGUAUAUUGUUUGGUAUGGAGGAAAAUAUUUUUGAUUUUUUUUACUAUUUUUUUGGAUAAAAUUUUAGAAAAAAUGAAAAAAAUUACGUUCUCAUGAAAAUAAGAAAAUUCACAAGUGGCACUUCGCAGGUUGUAUCCUACCCAUCCUUCAACACACCUCAUCUUCGUCUACGGUCUAUAGACCACACAUCCUCCUUCACCUUGGCCGCCACAGGAGCGGACCCACAUGUAUAGAUGGGGGUGCACGUGCAUCUGUUAACGUAGAAAAAAAUUGUAUGUAUAUAUCUUGAGAAAUUGGAAUAUAGGUAAUAGUGCACACAGGGAAAGUUGAAAGUGCACCUUGAUGUAUGAUGAACAAGGCUUUACCAUUAAGCUACCACAAUCAAUUGAUCAAAAAUGUUAAAAGUCAACAUAUUUGUUGAACUUCAUAUUUUAAAAAAGUAAAUUAAAGUUAUUAACUUAGAACUCAUAUCUGUUUUAUAUAUUUAUUUUUUCAGAAUUAUUCAUGUCAUUGACGACCAAUUGAAUAUGAUAAUAUUCUUUAAUCGACACUGAAGGUUUUGCUAACGUCUAUGUUAAGAUAAUAUUAGUGCACCACAGUAUUAUCAAAAACAAAAAGCGCAAAAAAGUUUCAAGGUCCAUUGUGUUUAAGCACAAAAUACAAAUAAAGCGUGAGAUUAAACGAAUAAAGGCAUAAAGGGAGAAAAAAAUAUAAAUAUAUGUAUAGUCCAAGACUAAUAAUAUAAGCAUGAAUAACAAAUAUAUGAACAAAGAUUUUUUUUUUUUAUAUAAAGUGAAAUAUCAAUUGUUUAGUGUUCGUCUCUUCAGAAAGCCUCAUUGACACGGGAAAGUAUAUCUUAGAAAUUAGAACCUAAACUGCACAUUAAGUGAGGCAAGCACUCCAACCCAUUUUGAGUCUUGCUUCAGGGCUUAUGUGCACCUUUGACAACACUGGUGCACCCACAGACUUCAAAUCCUGAGUUCGCCUCUGGGCCGCCAGGGGCGAAGCCAGUCUUCUGUUCGGGGGUUCGGCCGAAUCCCCUUCGUCGAAAAAAUAUACUAUUUAUGUAUGAUUAAAAUUAUUAUUUUUAUGUAGUUAUAGUAGGUGUUGAACCCCCUUCGAUUAAGUUUUCUUUGAAUAUUGAACCCCCUUAGUUGAAAUUCUGACUCCGCCUCUGUCAGCCGCUCCAGUCCCACGCCCUAUCCCCUCCACAAUCCGCAUUGAAUGAGUGGUGACUGGAGUGUUGUUUGGGAGUGUGGAAUGCGGAGGGUGGGGGCGAGGGCAAGAGCAUAAGGUCGUUGGAGGUGGAAAAGAAAAUUAAUAUGAAAUAUCACUUGUGGAAUUUACUAUUGGGUGUGUUUGGUAUGAUGGAAAAUAUUUUCCAUGGAAAAUGUUUUCUUGGAAAAUGUUUUCCUGGAAAAUAAGUUGGUUUUCUACUUAUUUUUUCAUGUUUGGUUGGUGAAUGGAAAAUAUUUUUCGAAAAAUAUUUUAUGGUGUUUGGUUGGUGAGUAGAGAAUAUUUUUGAGAAAAAUAUUUUCUAGUGUUCAAUUAGUGAGUGAAAUUUUUUUUUUCAGAAAACACUACUAUCUGUUAACUAGUAUAUCAGUGCCUCUAGCAACUCAACAAUUUGUAAGAACUAAUUUAAGCAUAACAAAUAAUAUCAAUAUCGAAUACUAAAAUAUUACAAUCACUAAAUUUAAGCAACUAAUAAUUAGCAAAUAUAGGAGACAAUUUUCAACAUUUUGUUAGGACAAUAUCAAGAUACUACAAUUAAUAGAAAUAUAACAAAACGACAAACUUAUUCAACCUCGUGAAACACGUUACAUCGAUAACAAAAUGAAAUAUACAAUUAACAAAAGUAACAUAAUUAAGUCUUCCUCUAUACAUAUGAAAAUAACAAUAUAUUCAACGAAUUGAAAAUGGAAAAAAUUCGGAUUUCACUAUUUUUUAUUUCAAGCAGUGAAAAAUUGAAGCAAAACACGGUGAAAAACAUUUCUGAGUAAUGUAACUUUUUGAAAAAUAUGAAUCUUUUGAGUCAUGUGAAUAUAAAUGUUGUUGGGGUGGGAAGAGGAGUUGAGGUGGGGUCAUAAGUCACAUUUGUUAUUUUCUGAAAAAUGAUUUUCCUUGGCCCAUGAGGAAAGUUAUUUUCCAUCAAAUGGUGGAAAUAAGUUGUCUUAGAAAAUAUUUUCCUAAACUUUUGUUGCAACCAAACAAGGGAAAACUGGAAAAUAUUUUCCAUCAUACCAAACACACCCUUCGUUUUCUUGAUUUUCAAAGAUGUUCUUUUUGGAGGAAAUGUAUUUUUUAAUUCAUUAUGACCAAUCAAGCAUUAAAAAAUUAGAAAAAAUCAUCCUCAUUACAUCUUUUUUUACCAGUAAAAUUAAAUAGGAAAAAAAAAUUGUGUCAUUUCUAAGUAGAAGGUUUACUGACAAGUCAAGAAUUUUUCCAUGAGGGGCCAAGAAAAAAAAAGUGAAAAAAUGAUUGAUAAAUAAGCAGUUGUCAUAUUCGUAUAUAUAGAGAUUCCAAGUGACUUUUUCCACAAUCAAAAGAUAGGAUUAGAAGAUUUCCCAUUUUUUAAUUUAUUUAAUUUCUUAUUCUUUAUUAUGUGGAAAUUGAAAUAGUAAAAGUGUAAUUUUAUUAUUAAUUAAUUUAUUUGUUUAAUGUUUAUCAAAGGGGACAAAGUGAAAACAAAAAGAAGAUAAUAUUUGUCUUUAAAGUAGUCAACACUCACUUCAAGAUUUCCAUAGCCCCAUUACAAGGAUCUUCCACACAAUUGCCAUUCAAUUUCUUCACUCAAUUCAUGUUGUUGAAGUUUUGUUGAAAAAGUUAACCAAAACAAAAAAAAGUUUUGCUAAAAGUUAAAGACAAAUACGAACAUAUUUGCUACUAGCAAAUGUAUACGAAUAAUCUCAAAGUAUUAAGGGAUAAUUAAAUUAAGAUAUUUAUACAAGGAUGGUAAAGUUGAUGUCAUAUGACCAGGAGGUCACGGGUUCAAGCCUUGGAAACAACCUCUGGCAGAAAUGCAAGGUAAGGCUGCGUACGAUACACCCUUAUGGUGGGACUUUUUCCUAAACAUCGUACAUAACGGCAGCUUUAAUGCACCGGACUACUUUUUUUUUUAUACAAAGGAUGGUAAAAUUAAAAUAUUUAUACAGUAAGAGAUUGUACGUUUGAUAUGUUGAACAAGCAUUAAUAGUGCUGAAAUAAGAUAUUGGUAUUGUCAUAUAUCAUUUGUUUGAGAUGCCCAAACAAAUGAGUUAUUCCUUCGAGAGGCUAGGAUAUGUUAUAUCAAGAUUAAUAAAUAAUAUCAAAAUGAGUUAUUCUUUGACGAAGCUGGAAUAAUAGUAUGGGGUAAGUAUUUUGAGAUAAAAUAAUUAAAGUAACAAAGAUAUUUUUGAGAUUCCUCAAACCCUUGUUCUGCUUAAUAAGGUGGAAGAUAUAUUUGAAAAUAAAUAACUUCUUAGAAAUUAUACAAAACACACUAUUUCUCGCGCAACAAAUCAAAUAAUUAAUAAUAAGUUCCAUCAUAAAUGAUGUGAUUGCCAUUAUAACCCAAAAAAAACACGUACCACACAUUCACCAUGUACCAUUAAAUGUUUAUUAUUUGGUGAAUUACUUUAUUUCAUGUUGUAGUAUUAAAUUACAAAACUAUUUUUUUUUUCUGUUUGCAAUUCCUCAUCCUCUAGUGAAACCUAGGGGAGGUCAUAUUCAUUUGCAUUUGUACUGUACUUAGGGAGGAUGUUGAAUAUUGGUUGGAUUUUUCGGUUUUCGAAUUGAUGAAAAUGAUAAUUAUAAUCAAACUAAAAUUAUUUUGGUUAAUUUGGUUCGGUUUUUAUAAAUUCGGUUCGGUUAUUUCGGAUUUUUAUUUCGAUUUUAAAGAUGAAAGUAGUGAGCAUUUAAAAUUGGCGAUUUUUCUAGAAAAAUAAUCACUUUUUCAAACCUAUUUUUCAUUAACAAAUAUAAUUCAUUCACCACUCAUGAAAUAACCAAAAAUAUCGACCUCGCUGAGUCGUCGCCGUUGGCGAGACAUCAGUGGCCGCACUCAAUAGCAACUGCUAACGGCAGUGACGAACUGAGCAAACGACUGUCGACUGCCUUUGGCGAUGUUGAAAUUUCAAAUGAACUAACAAAUUGAGGAUGACUGAGCGCCACUGCAGCUUUCACGUUAAUGUUAGGGUCUAAAGUAAAGCAGUAUAUUAGGAUUUAGGGUCACUGAAUGAUUAUAAUUUAUAUAUUUACAUGUUAUAUCUCAUUAUAUUAUAUUUUUAGUAUAUGUACAUAUAAUAUAAUAUAUAUAUAUAUAAAUUAUAAUAUAUUAUUUAUAUAAUUUUGAUUUUUUGAUUUAUUCAUUUUUUUUGAAAAUGCGAAAACCAAACCGUUUUACCGAAUUUCUAAAAUUUGAAACCGAAAUCAAUCCGAAAAAUCGAAAAAUCAAACCAAAAUUAAAUUUUGAUUCGUUUUUUCGAUUGUUUCGGUUUAAACCAAAAUAUGUCCAGCCCUAACUGUACUAUAUAAAGAAUUUGAGCAUUUUGGUCUAAAAUGAAAAAAAAAUUAAUGGACAAACAGAUAUUACCAAAAAAUUCAAUGAUCAAUUGAGAUGUUUAUAUAUGCAUGCUAUUGAUUUAAUUCCCAAUAUUUUUUGCGUAAAUGAUCAGAUCUAGUGGGCAGAGAAAAGCAACAUCAAUAAAAGAAAAUAUAGUCAAUUACGCCUUCGAAUUAAUAUUUUCUUAAAAACGUGUAGAUAAAAAAUACGAUAAAUAUAAUACAUACCAGUGUCAUAAAAGUGUGGCCAAGGAUUUUGCCAAAUAAAUGGAGGUGUUAUUGUGUUUUAUUGCCUAUGUUACUUCUUUGACUCAUCAAUUUAAUUUAUAGUCUACAUACGAUUUAUCUUCCUUUUUGUUUACAUAUUUCAUUUUAAAAGUUGACAAAUAUCUUAUUAUUUGAUCUCUUUAGAUUUUGUAUUUUCUUAAUGAAAAAAGAAUUAAAAGCACAAGUAGCAAAGAUUUGGUCUGAAAAAUCAUGAAUGAAUGUAAUGCUGCAAGUAAUUAAUUAUAAUUAAAUCGUCAUUUAAAGUUAAUAAUAGUUUGUUCGAUGUGGCUCAUCUUAAGCUUAUCGAGGAUAUAUAUAUAUAUAUAUAUAUAUAUAUAUAUAUAUAUAUAUAUAAUUUUAGGUGGAUCUGAAGAUUACAAAUUUCGAUAAAAUUAUUGUCAUCAGUUGAUAGUUAUGUGUUCUUUCAUUUUUCUGCGAGGUAGACUUGGUGGUCAUACUUGGACCUUAAGUAUUUUCAUAGUUUCUUUUUCUUCUAUUUUGAUUGUCAUUGAUGUUUUUGUGCUUCACUAUCACAUAUUUUAUGUUUGAUUACUAUAUUAUUUACUACUCUCAAUUCAGAUUAUACUAUUAUUGUUACUGCCUCUCAUUUACUUUUUUUUUUUUCAAAUUGUUUGAACAUACUUUAGCUUGACUAUUUACCAUAUGUAAGAAUGAAAUCUGCAUACGCUUUAUCUUUUCUAAAUCCACAUAUAAAACCACACAAAAUAUAUUACUAUAAUAGUUUAUUCGCUUUGGAACGAAGAAGCAAUUAGGAUAUUUUCAGUGUAUAGCACUAAUUAUUCAUUUUUAUUAUUUCUAUACUGAUAUUAGUGAUGAAUGGUAACUCUCUUCAGUUAUUUCUUAAAUGGGCCAAUGGAGUAGCAAUCAUAUACUAUGUUACAUGUCUAAUUUACACUUCCGGGAAAUAAAGUAACUUUAAAGCUAUAGUUGUAUCAUUGUUGAGGAGCCAAUUUCCUUUAUUAGGUCCUUUAGGUUUUACAGAUUAAUUGGUACUAAUUAUGUAAAUAACAUAUUUUUCCACCAGUACCAUACUCAUCAAUUCAUCAUAAGUAAAUCAGUAAACGAUUAUAUAUAAUGUUUCUAACAAGACGAUGUUUAUGGUACAUUACCAACAUUUUUUUUCUCUGGAGCCCUAGCUAAUUAAAUUCACCCUGCGUACCGUCCAUUUCUACUAGAACAGGAAUGGUCUGUCAGACAGCCAUUAGACCGUCUCAACACCCAUGGUUUGAGCUGAAAAUGAUCAUCUAUGGCGUCAUGAUCUGUAUGCCAUGGAAGCUGUUAAUCACACUCUAGUCUGAUGACCAAGAUUCAUGAAGGAACAUAGCUAUGUAUAUCGAAAGAUUGACAACACCCUAUGGCCCAAAUGCCAUUAAAGCUGUCGAUCACGCUCUAAUCUAAAGACCACAAUUCAUCCUGCAGCAUAGCUAUAUACAUCGAAGGAAGAUAAUCUAUGACCCAAAUGCCAUGGAAGUUGUUAUCACACUUUGGUAUAAUGACCAUGACUCAUCAAGGGGCUCAACUAUGUAUUAUAUUAUAGAGUGGUCAGUCAAAAAGAGUUGCUAUGUGUUUAGGUUUAGGUUAACUGUUACUUUUAUAAUACUAUAACCUUGAAAGUAUCUCUAAACAAAAUUUCUGAAUUCAGCUACCCGACUUGAUUUCCUAUCUUCGAAAGAUACAUAGUGUUACGAGCCGAUAGGAACAUAUCCUAUUCUAGUAAGAUAGUAAAACAUGUUCUAAGAAGAGCUAUAAAAAGAACACAAAAUAGCAUCAAAAAAAGAAAACAUAAAAGAGCAAAAUUCAGUAAAUAUACUAACAACAAUUAACUUACAAUUACAACAUUAUUUUUUUUCUCAAUUAGGUACAAACAAUUGUCUAGCCAAAAAUUCCUUGGCACCUAAACUGUUACAUAAAUAGUUCCCAUCCCAACUAAUUACUUUGACUAAAUUCACCACCCUCACCUCCCCCCCUUUUCCACACACCCCACAUAUGUCAUCUUUUUCAACUAUGCCAUCUCACCACCUCCUACUUUUCCAAUCCAAUAAUUAUGGAUCAUCAUUUUAAAAAGCCACUUUUUUUCUCCUUUUCCACCUUUUAUACGAAAAAUAUUUAUCUAAUAUAGUGACCCCUUUUUUUAAAAGCCAUUGACCCACUCUCUUCCAACUUCUAGAAACCACCAGAACCAACAUUUGAUAAUUACCUUCCAAUUGUACACGUGUUCUUUAUCAACAACAUCCCCUUCACCUUUCUCGUUUAUCUAGCAAUUGCUUAAGUGGUCCCCGCCAUUGGUUAAUUUAUCAUCAUCAUAUCCAUUGUUGAUCAUCAUGAUGAGCGCUUCCUGAAUCUAACGGCUCCGAUUUCACAUCAGAUCCAUGCGGUUGUACUUGAUCCUGGCACCUUCCUUCUCGAUCAGAUUCUUCGUCGUUACUUCUUCUCACGCGCUUUACACCUAGUGAUACUCCGAACAGCCGCGGGUUUAUAUCUUCCUCCGCCGUAUCGGCCGCGCCGCCUUCAACCUCCGCCGUAACCUGCCCCGUACGUAGCAAUUCUAAAGCUCGUCCUUCCGGUAUUCCCGCCGGAAUCUCCGCCGGAUUGGCCGUGAAAUUCGACAUGAGAUUAUACACAUUACUGCAUAAACCUCGUAACCGAUUCAACUCCUGGCUCAAUUGAGCAUUCUCCUUUCUCAGCCGUUCGUUUUCCUCUAUAAGAUCCGGCGUCGUCGUGCAAGUGGUCAUCCUUAACACCGCCGCAGCUGCAGCUCCGGAUGCCGUACCCGCCGGUGAUGAAUUCGACGAUAACACCUGUUCGUCACCGGAAUUCGACGACGAUAUCUGGAUCCUCACUGCCGGUGCCACCGCUACCGUCACCGCUUGUGCUGCAUUUACCGCCAUUACUGGUGUAGCAGCAGCAACCGCAGGAGUAACAGCAGUACCUGCCGGUGCCGGUGAGAUUUUCCGGCGUUGAAUGUCACGAAGUAAUCCUUUUUCACCUCUCCGGAAACAUUCAUUCGCAAAUUCCCAUCUAUCAGGUACAACUUUUCUGAAUCCCUAAACAAUAAACAAUAAUUUCACCAAAUAAAAUUAAAUCAACGAAAAACAAAACACAAACUUACUUACGUAAAGUAUUAAGCUGCGAACAAAAUGGAAAAACAAAACACAAACUUCCUCUUCCAAAAAUAUCAAACUUACGUAAAGUAUUAAGCUGCGAACAAAAUGAAAAAAUAAAACAAAAACUCAUAAAGAAAACUAAAACUUACGUAAGUAUUAAGCUGGCGAACGAAACUGGAGAAAUUAUUAUGCUUAAAAUAUUUAGGCAACAAAUCUCUAGCAAAUUCAGCAGGUUUCCAAACGAUGAAUGUGGUACCAUCUUCAUUCCAUGAGAUCAGCUCAUCCAUGGUAGGAUCAUCAACGAGCUGAUAAGUUUUCGUCAAAAAUGGCGUUGGAAGAGAUCUCUGAUUCUCCGCACCGGCACCGGCGGGGGUGUUAGAUUCGCCGGUUUGUUCAACCGACGACGGCACCAUGACAUCCACUGCUAAAACUAAUUAACACAGAUCCAAAAUCGAAUCGAGCAACAGAGAAAAAAAGAUUGUGUUUUUUUGUUUCUAGAAGUUUCUUAGGAGGUGAGUAGGAGGGAGAUAGGAAAAAAUGGUUGAUAAAGAGAAUACCAUGGGAGGAAAAUAAUCGAAUAAUAAUAAUACUAAUAAUAUUAGUAAUAGAGUAAUUGGAGUCGAGGGUAAAAUGGAGAAAUGGAUGGGUCAAUUUUUUUUUAAGAGGGGUAUGUGGGACCUAGUAACUAUUUUUUUUUUUUCUCAGUUAGGAAAAUGCGAGAAGGUACCAUAAGCUUAAGAAAAGAAAAUAGAAACUAAAAAGUUUGUUUUAUCUUUCCAGAAGGUUCUCCUGUUUCGUUAAGUUUCCAACAUCAUUAAAGGUGCGUAAAUAUCUUGAUCUUUUAUUUAAAAAUUAUUUAUACUCCCUCGUUUAAAAAAAAAAUAAUUUAUUUUAAUUUGACAUGAAAUUAAAAAAAAAAAAUUAAAUCUUAUAGUCUUAAAUUAAAAUUAUGUCAAAUAUAUCAAAAUAUUUUUUAAUCUUGUAGUUUUAGACAUGUCAUGUGAAAAGUUGAAAUUAAAGUAUUAUAAAAAAAAAAUGAAUUAUUCCUUUUUAAAUAGAUUAAAAAGAAAAAGUAUGUCAUUCUUUAGGGAGUAUAUAAUUUAAAUAUAUGUCAUGAGUGGUGGUGUGAUGUGGUAGGCACUGUGGAAUCAAGAUUUUCACUAAGAGAAUUCAAAAAUAACAUACAAACAAAUUAAAGGAUUUUCAACAUCUAUUAUAUAUAUACAUAAAAAAAAAAUUAACUAUAUAUACAUUAAAGGAUAUUCAUUGAAGAAGCUUCGAAUGAAUUCCUACCGAUAAAUAGCUCUGCCCUGGGUGAUAGCGAUGGGAGGCUACAAUGUACGAGUGAGAGUGAAAAUGAAGUAUGUUGAAGAGUAGAGAGGAUACGAUCGAUUUGGCUUUUGAUAAUUAUGAUUUUAGAAUUAAUUUUUGUGCUUCACAACUAAAUUCAUGAAAUACCUAUAUAUUAUCAAUCAAAAUUAAGAGAAAUGCGAUGAAUCACCUAGCGUUGAGUGAUAGAAAUGAGAGUUUAUGAGGUGAAACUUGAGAGUGAAGAUAAAAAAGUAUGUUGAAAGGUAAAAACGAUAUAUUGAUGAAAAAUAUUAUUUGUAAAAUUUAUUUUCUCUAAUUUUAAGUUACUAGUCAUAUCUUACGAGUCUCGCGAGUGUACCUCAUUUCAAGUAAAUCAGUUAACAAAAUCACUUCGAUAUUGUAAAAGAAAAUAUUCUUGAAUUAAGAAAUUAAUUAAUUAAUUAAUUUAAUACAAAAAAAUAUUUAAUACAAAAUUAACAUAUUCAUACAAAUCAUAUAAAAGACAUAAGAGCGUAUUACGUUAAUUAACUCUCUCUCUCUCUCUCUCUCUCUCUCUCUCUCUCUAUAUAUAUAUAUAUAUAUAUAUAUAUAUAUAUAUGAAAUUAAUGUGUAUACGUUAUAUUAUUAAGUAAUCACUUAAAAUAGUUGGUGUAAAUUAUUAAUCAUAUUUACGGUAAAUUUGCAACUUUAAUUUAUUGGGCUUAGUAGUGAACCAAAUUAACUUGUAUUAAAAUAUAGUCAAUUUAGGUAAAUUUUGAUAGUCGUUUAUAUAGAAUCCCUAUUUUAAUAUAUUUAUUUCGUAAAAUAUCAAAUUUUAGACUAAAUUUGUAGUUAUUUUGGUUUAUAGAAAUUUUUUCUAUGCAAGGUAUACCUAAAUCAACAAGAACUUUAAUUAAUUAAUUUCAUAUACUUAAUAUUUCAUAUAAUAAGCAAUAAUAAUUAUUUAAGGAAAAAAGUGAAAAAAAUAAUUUUUUUAUUUCAAAAUCUUAAUGAAUGACAAAAGUUUGAAUCACUUAGUGGUGUGCGUGCUUUGUACGUGUCUCUCUUGUCAAUUAAAAAUUUCAUUAUAUCUAUAUAGCUUGUACCAAUAAAUCAAAAGAGUCUGUUGUUAAAAAUAAUGAUCACAUGUCAGAUCUCAUAAUUUAUUCAUAAUUGGAAAAAGUUACAUAUAAUUAAAUUUUAAACAGAAUUCAUAUAGAAUCAGAAUGACUAACUAAUUUUUUAUGACGGAAUGUAAUGAUUCAAAGAAUUUGUUCAAAUUUGUAAAUAAGUCAAUUUCAAAUUAUUAAUUGUAAAUAAGUCAAUUUCAAAUUAUUAAUUAUAAAUGCAUCAUUAUUAACAAAAAUCACACACCAAAAAACAAAUUAACAAUUAUCUAUCAAGAAUACAUGAUAAUUUAUUAUUUUAAACUUCAAGAACAUACUACAAUUACAGUCACAAAAAAAAAAAAUCUCAAUUAACAAUUAUCUAUAAAAUAUACACGAUAUUUUUGUAAACAUAAAAAAAAUAUACAAAUUUUUGUAGAGUUUACCUCAAAUCACAAAUAAAUUUGUCUCUUCAAUUAUAACUACCAUCAAUAUUUCAAAAAAAAAAAAAAACUCAGAAAGUAAUUGUCAAUCAAGAAUACAUGAUAGAUUAUUAUUGUAAACUUCAAAAAUAUACUAAAAUUUUAAAAAACUUACCUCAAAUCGCAAAACAAAUUCAUCUAUUUAAUCAUAAAUACUAAUAAGAUUUUAAUCAUAAAGAAUAUAUUAAAAAAUUAAAAUACUUACCUCAAAUCUCAAGUAAAUUUAUCUCUUCAAUCAAAAGAUAUGUCAAGAUUUUACUAAAACACACGCAAUUAACAAUUAUAUAUCUAUAAAAUUACAUGAUGAUUUAUUUGUUGUAAAUUUCAAGAACAUACUAAAAUUUUAGAAAAUUUACCUGAAAUCACAAGAAAAUUUAUCUCUUCAAUCAAAUAAAAUAAACAAUAAACUAAACCAAGGAAAAUUUAUCACAUGCUAUAAAACAAUAUUAAUAUAGCUCAAAGAACUCACUUGAUUAGGAACAAUCAAUUGUAUGGAGAACAAAAAAAGAAAAUAUUAAUAAAGUUUAAACCUUUUCUAAUAUAAAUACUAUUAUAGUAAGUUUUCUACUUAUUCUGUUAUUAUUUUUUCCUUUUAAAUCUAAGUUAAUUAGGUCUCAUCUUUAAUAUGAAUACAAUAAUAAUAGCAAAGAUACUACUCCAAAGUUAUUACUCGUGUGAAGGAAAAAAAAUUGAUUUCUAGUUUUGAAAAUAGUGCUAAUCUUUAUAGCGAGUAUAACUCUAAUAAGAUACAAUUUUUAAAAUUAUGAUUGACUAAAAUUAUCUUUUAUCAUAAAUUUAGGAUUUUUAAUUUAAGAAUUUUUUUUUCAUAUAUUUUAAACUCUUGAUACCCAUAUAUUUUAGGAGACAAUAUUAUAAAUAUAAUUAUAAUUAUUUAAAAAAAUAGUAAAAAGACAAUUUUAUCUAAAAAAUUUUUUUUUUUAAUAAAGGACAAAAAGUUCAAACGUCAUUUAUAAGGUCCUUUACAUUUUUAAUAUGAUAAUAAUAAUAAUAAUAAUAAUAAUAAUAAUAAUAAUAAUAAUAAUUUAUUUCUUAAAAGAAAUAUUUUAAAAUAAUUUUAGUUGCUUAUAUAAAAAAUAAUUAAAAGUAUUUUCCUCGAUAACAAAAGAAACACUAAUACUUUGUGUCUUGUUUCCUAGUUUUAAAGUGCACCUCGGAGAGAGCAGAGUAAGUGUCGGAGAGGCUAUGAAUUGUGAAAUGCUUAUUCUUACGUAGGAGAUAAAAAUGCUGAUGUUGUCAUAUUACGGCCCCGUUUAACCAUAAAAAUAUCUUUUUUUGGAGCUGGAAUUAGAGUUAAAGAUGAAGUUGGAGUUAGGUGUUCAUGGGUCGGUUUGAGGCAGCUAUUGGUCAAAAUCAUAAUCAAACCAACUUAGUCAGUUUUUAAAUUUCUAAAAUCAAAUCAAACAAAAAAAAUAACUGUCGGUUUGAUUCUUAUCGUAUUAGUUCGGUUUGGUUCGAUUUUUUUUUAUUUUUUCGAUUUAUAACUUUAGCUAAUGAUAAAAGUUGAAAACUAAAAAAAAUAAAUUCAAUCUAACAUAUGAGAUGUUAACCGAGUGUUGUAUCUCAGCCUUGAAACUAAGAUGUCAACUGAGUGUUAUACUUCGGCAAAAUUAUGAACAACACCAUAUGAAUGCUUCUAAAAAAAUAUUUUAAAACUACAUUUAACGGAAUGAUAUGAUAAACCCCCAAAAGAUGAACACAUAAACUUCUUGCUCAACAAGGUUAAAAAGAAAGUUAAAAUUAAUGGUUGUCUAUAUUCAAAUGAAUCUCAACUAUAAAUUUCAAUAUACAACAAGAUAUUAUUUUCACAAUUAGUAUAAUUUGUCAUUCAAAGUGCAAAAUUCACUUGGAAUCUCAUAAAGUACUAUCAACUAGAUGAAGAAAAGACUUAAUGUGUUACGACUAAAGUUAAAUCAUGAUUAAAAUAUAAAAUGUAACAAAUAUUUAUAUUGUAUUUAUGAAUAAUACAUAAAUAAUUAUAAUAUAUAUAUAUAUAUAUAUAUAUAUUUAUCGGUUCGAUUUGGUUAUUUUGUCGGUUAUUUUAGAGUAAAACCAAACCAAAUUAGUAUCAGUUUUUAAAAAUUCAAAACCAAACCAAAUCAAACCUAACCAAAUAUCGGUUUGAUCAAUUUGGUUUGGAUCGUGGUUCGGUUUGGUUAAAAAUCAAACCACGAACACCCUUAGUUGGAGUUGUGUUUAGCUAUGAAUAUAAAUUAAAGUUGUUUUUGAAAUCUUACGAAAAAAGUAUGAGUGAAAAAAGUGAAAACAAGUAAAACUUAUUUUCACUUUUCCAAAUAAUUUUUUGAAAUUGGAGUUGAAAAAUUCAUGACCAAACGCACCAUGUUUUCACUUUUUUCACUAAAGUAAAAUAAUUUUUCAAAAAAAAAAAAUUCCUAUGAUCAAAUGGCUACUUAAGAUUUAAGACCAUGGCGGAUUUAACACAGAGUUGCAAAUUAUGGGAAUUUUUUUUUUUUUUUUUUUUUUUUUUCAAAAAGCAUCAUAAUAUAAGUAGUUAUGAUAAAGCUAGCAAGAAAAUGUAUUGGCCUUGAACUAUUAUUACAAAUAUAAUAAUAUUUGAAAAAUAUUAGUCCCUAAUUUCAUUUUUGUCUAAUUCUGACAAACAAAGGGAAACUAUUCAUUCUUCGAAAAGACGAUUCACAUUCAUCUUUCGAUCCUCUUUAGCUAUCAAAUCGACUACCUUGUUCAGCAGCCUUGGCUCAUGCAUCAACGAUGGACAUGGACUCCCUAAUUCGUGGAGAAGAUCUUCACAUGCUAAGGUUAAAUUAAAAUUAUUUUCAGAAUUUUAUGUAAUAUGUUUAUUACCACUAAAGAGUCAGUAGCAAUUUUCAAUUGGGUGAUUUGCAAUUUAUCAGUCAAGUGAAGUUCAUAAUAUACUAACACUAAUAGUAACGUUUCAAAUAUUUUUACACAAGAUAAAUCAAUCGUUUUCGUAGGAGUCCGCAACAUAAUUUAUUACAGCAUCCAUUUUAAUGCUCUUUCAAAAAACUUUAACAUGAUGACAUAAGAGAAAGAUGUGGGAAAUUCUUAAUAUAAUAUGAAAAAUAAGUAUGGAUAAAAUUAGAUCUAUAUUUUAAAAUUAUCCUCUCAAUAUAGAAUUUUUAUUAACUAGUCAAGUCCAGAAUUAGAUAGUAGAAUCUAGGGUAGUAGUACAGUAUCAAAUAAUUCGAUUUUAUUUUUGCAAGUACUUAUCCUUUUGUAGAAAUGUUAAAUCGUUAAAAAAUUAUUAAGGUAUCAAUUAAUCAAUUAUGAUCGUUAUCAAUUUAACAAUGAACUAAACUAAACUAAACCCUAAUUUACUUUGUUUUUAAAUUCCUCUUUUUUUGCUCUUCAAAUCAUUUCGCGAAAUCUCUCCCUUAAAUCAUACCAAUCAAAACAUUGCUCGCACAAUGUUUCACAAUCUCAAACACCAUAUAAAUUUCUUCUUUGAAAGACUUUCCAUAUAUAGGUAAAAUAGUUCUUAUUAAAGCUCUUCAGAUGAAACUAAACACUUUUGAAAGUAAUAAGAGGCUUCAAAUGAACUUCCAAAGUUGUUGGUUCUACGGAUUUGGUGUUAUGUUUUGAUUAUAAAGGAGGUAAUGUAAUGUCCACUCUUUAAUUUGGAGUACAAUUGUUUGGUAGUAUAUUGUUUCCACAUCCAUGUAUCUUUUCGGGGCUUGAUAUAUAAGGAAAUUUAUUUAGCCAUAUCUAUCUAAAAGUCAUUAAAAAGAGAAUAAAGUAAAUUUCAAUCCUAUUCUCGUACACCUUGCUUCAUCAAAUCAGCUGCAAGCUUUAACAAGACAGUAAGAACCGGAUAAAGUCACGGAGUACUGAGCAAAGCUCCCGCUCACAAAGAAACUAGAGCUUUCAACAUAACUUGCAUUGUCCUUAAUUAGACAGCUAUGGGUACAUAUGGACAUGUUUUAGAGUAUCUCAUCUCAUCCAUGCAAAUUUUGAGUAGUGACAUAAUCAUGCCAUAUUUGGCAUAUUAUAUUUAUCAAACUUUUCUUAAUAGGGCCCUGCAGUAUGUUUCUGGCUAAUGGGAUAGAAGAAUGUAGAAGAAAGAAGUUAUUCCAUUGUGUAUCGAUACGCGUCAAUGAUCAAGUUGAGCUGAAUCUAAAAGGGUCAAAAUAGAUUGAGUUAGCGGAUUAAUAAUCCAUUCAAAAAUUGAGUUAAAAUAUGAGGUCAUAAUUUAUAACCAACUCAUGAAUUCUUACUCAAUUUUAAUUGUUUUAUUUAUUUAUUUUUAGUAUCUAAAUAAUUUUAUUGUUAUUUUUAAAUUAUGAAUGUCCCUUUGAAUAUUUUGUUAAGAUACCUCAUUAAUUAAUUUGUGCUACAUAUCAACCUUAUUUUUUAUAGGUUGAAAUAGGUUUUACUAAAAAGGCUAGCUAGAUAUAUGUAAUAUAUAAUGUGGACCUGCAAUUCUGUAGUUGCAGCUCAAUCUAAUUUUUAUUAUACUAGUAAUUAUUAUGGAAUUCAGUUUAUAUUAAUUAUAAUUUGUACCACUGUCAUAGUUUUAGGGCAGUGUCUGUAAACUCCAUUUGUCUGAUUUAAGUUAUUGUAAUUAAUGUAAUCUUAUUAAAUUUGGGUCAACGACCUUUUAAGAAACUUGAAUUUGUUCAUUCAUUACUUGCUAAAUUUCACUAUUUUUUCCAAAAGAGAAACAUGAGACUCAAACAGUCAAGAACUAAAUAAAAGUUUUAUAAAGUUUUUUAAUCUUUCCUCAGUUUUGUGAACUCCUCUUUUCUUGUCUUAUAUAUUUUUGAGUAGGGCUGUGUUGGUUGCAAGAGAUGUGAAUUUGUUGUUUAAUAGAAUUUUUGAGCGACUGAAUUUUAUUUAUGACGUAAAACAAUUCAAAAUAUGGGUCUAAUUUGUUAAUACAUUUGAAAAAAAUUCUACUUAAAUUCACUUAAAAAGGAUUCUUGCAGUCCCCGCCCCCCUCACCCCCACCCCACCCCACACACAUAAUUAGGGGUGUGCAUCGGUCGGUUUGGUUUUACUUGUUAUUGGUUCGGUUUAUCGGUUUUCGAUUUUUAAAUAUGUAAUACCAAUAACCAACCAAUAAGAUAUUUUCUUAUCUGUUUCGGUUUAUCGUUUUUUGGUUCUUAACGGUUUGAUUUUCGGUUUAAUCAAUAAGAAAAUACUUAUAAAAUAGAAAUAGCAACAACUAAUAUAAAAAAAUGAAAUCUUAAUUACCGCCAAAACCUACGCAAUGCAUUUUAGUGUACAAGAACCUUCAAAUUUGAACUGAAUGUUAGUUAGGAAAAAAAUUGAAUCCUAAUUGUUGGAAGCUUUAAAUAGGGUUGUGCAGAAACCGAACCGACCGAUAAACCGAACCGAUAAAAAUGUUAUUAGGUUAUUGGUAUUGGGUUAUCGGGUUAACGGUUUUUUAUUGGUUUUAUAAAAAAUUUUAUUGGGUAAACGGUUUGGUAUCGGUUUUAGCUUAUACACUAAGUUAUUGUUUUAUCCCUAUUUAUGUUAUAUAUUUAAAUCUAUCUCUUUAUCUAUCUAUCUAUCUAUCUAUCUAUCUAUCUAUCUAUCUAUCUCUCUCUAUAUAUAUGCGUGUACGUAUAUAGAUUAUAUGCACUACUAAUUUAUAAUUCAGUGAUUCACAAAGUAUUAACCUAUUCAGGGUAACAAAGGCACAAUAUAAAGUUCGGCUAUUAUCGUAAUAAAAAACUUGAAGCAUUUAUAGCUUCCAACAAUUAGGAUUCAAUUUUUUUCCUCACUAACAUUCAGUUCAAAUUCGAAGAUUCUUGUAAACUAAAAUGCAUUGCGUAGGUUUUGGCGGUAAUUAAGAUUUUAUUUUUUUNNNNNNNNNNNNNNNNNNNNNNNNNNNNNNNNNNUUUUCUUAUUGGUUAAACCGAAAACCGAAUCGUUAAAGACCAAAAACCGAUAAACCGAAACCGAUAAGAAAAUAUCUUAUUGGUGGUUAUUGGUUUUACAUAUUUAAAAACCAAAAAUCAAUAAACCGAACCAAUAACACAUAAAAUCGAACCGAACCGAUGCACACCCCUAGCUUUAAAUGCUUCAAGCUUUUCAUUACGAUAAUAGCCGAACUUUAUAUUGGACCUUUGUUGCCCUGAAUAGGUUAAUACUUUGUGAAUCACUGAAUUGUGAAUUAAUAGUGUAUAUGAUUUAUAUACAUACACAUCUCUCUCUCUAUAUAUAGAGAGAGAGAUAAAGAGAGAGAGAUUUAUAUAUAUAACAUAAAUAGGGAUAAAACAAUAACUUAGUGUAUCUUUAUUGGGUUAUUAGUUUAACCGAUAACCCAAUAAGCUAAAACCGAUACCGAACCGUUUACCUAAUAAAUUUUUUUAUAAAACCAAUAAAAAAUUAUUAACCCGAUAACCCAAUAACAUUUUUAUCGGUUUGAUUUAUCAGUCGAUUUGAUUUUUGCACAGCCCUACAAACGACCCCUAAAAAUAUAGUCCUAAGGUGUUAAAAACGUGGCUGUAAAAGGGAUACUAUAAAUGUGGCUUUUUAUCAUAGAAAAGGCCACACAUUUUGCACAUUGUAGCCUUUGCCUCGUGGAUGAAUGAAGAGUUAAUUAUGUAUCUCAAUAAGUUUAAAAUUGAAAAAAGUAUAUCGGGAGCUAAUUAUGUCUUUCUACAAAGGGAAAAAUAUAUUUUCGUUGGAUGCAUUAUGUAUUUCGACAGACACAAAUUUUUUUAAAAAAUGUAUCGAAAACUAAUUAUAUAUCUUUAUAAAAGAAACAAUGUAUUUUCGUUGGAUGUAUUGGGAGCUAAUUAUGUAUCUCGAUAGAUUCAGAAUUGAGACUUUUAAUAAUUAUGUAAAAUAUCAAAAUUUCCUGUAAUUAAACUCUAAGCUAUCGAGAUUUACAUUGUUUUCCUUGUAACUAGGGGUGGGCAUGGUAUGGUAUGGUACGGUAUUUGAAACUUCGAUAUUCGGUUUUUAAAAACAUUAUACCAUUACCAUACCAUAUUAAUUCAGCAUGGUUCGGUAUUUUGACGUAUGAUAAUUGAUAACCAUAGUUUGUUUAACUUUGACAAUAUAUACUCGUAUACUAGAGUAUUAUUACUUCGACUUUUCAAAAGCAUGUCUUAAUUGUAUCAUAAAAAUGCAUUACACAUGUAGAAAUAUUAAAAAAGAAGUACAAACAAUUUCUUUUAUUAGUCAAUUACACCAAAAAGANNNNNNNNNNNNAUGUAUUAUAUGUGUGUGUGUGUGUAUAUAUAUAUAUAUAGUUACUUAUGCAACUAUAUAUACUUUGGUAUGUUAUUCAGUAUUUCGGCAUGUCAUUUGUAAAUACCGUAUACCAAUUUUUUUUUUUAAAUAUAUACCAUAUAUUAUAAUACAAAAAACCUCAGUAUCAAAAAUUUUGAUUUGGUAUGGUAAUUUGGUAUAUACCAUACCCUACCAUACCAUGCCCACCCCUACUUGUAACGAAACAAAUUGGGCCGGAGCCCAUCAAAGAAUUAGGCUUGAAUUUGUGGACUUCAAUGUUUUAUUUUAGCCCAAAUGAAUGAGAUAUUAUGAUGUCAUAAUUGGGCCUUGAUAUUAUCAUCAAAAUGAUAAGAAUGAAGAUAUCUUCCUCAACAAUAGAUAGAUUACUAGCAAGCAGGGCAGGGAAGGUAAGGUGGAGAAGAGAAGCUUAAGAAGAACAAGGUAAAACAACACCUUCAAUUUCACUCUUCCUUUCUAUAAAGUAGAAAACUUUACAAAGUCUACCCUUUAUACUGAUGGUGGAAGUGAGAGUUCAGUUUUGCUUUUUGAUGUGCUUUGUUCACCAUGUGUUUGACAAAAUGUCUCUAUCAAUGUUUUCUAUUUUCUUGGUGUUUACCAAUUGCGAAGUUUGUGCUGUAUGAUUAGUAAGAAGAGUUUCAGGUUCUGUGGAUUGUGCUUUACUGCAGUAAAAGGCAUUCGUUAUUCCUUGUAUUGCUCUUCAAGAGUGCACAAAUACAACUUUUUUCUUAAAAAGGGCAGCCCGGUGCACUAAAGCUCCCGCUAUGUGCAGGGUCCGGGGAAGGGGCCUACCACAACGGUGUAUUGUAUGCAGCCUUACCUUGCAUUUCUGCGCCAGUCUGUUUCCAAGGCUUGAACAUGUGACCUCCUGAUUGCAUGGGAACAACUUUACCGUUUACUCCAAGGCUCUCCUUUAACUUUUUUAUAAAGAAAAUAAAUAAAACAAACAUUUCUUUAAUGCAUAUGGCCUUGAAAGACGUGUUUUUUAGUUGUUGACAACCAAGACAAAGACGAUAGGUCGUGUUUUUCCAUCCGUUCAGCCUUGGUGGAUAGAGUUGUUUGAUACCUCUUCGUGGGAGUCCCCAUGGAACUAGUCAAGGUGCACACAAGUUGGUCCAGACGCCAGAAUUAUAAAAUUAAAUACAUAUUACUUUUUAGUAUAGGAAUGAUAUGGCUUGGAAGAACUAUGUUUAGUUAGGGAGUAGAGGACGUCACUCGGCACCUAAGGUGGAUUCAAGCUUAGGAUCUAUUGUUGAAUGGAGCCGAAUGGAUAUAGAGCAUUCAUAUAAGUUAUAACACACACGUACUAGUUGUAAUUGAGGCAUAGUUGAUAGAUUAAUUGAUUUAGUCAUGUUUGACAUGCUGCUAAUUAUCUUUGCUUUCUAUAUUAGUUUGAUUUGUUUCUUUUCAUCGAAGAGAGAUAUUACAGCCAAAAAGAGGCAUACCUCUGUCACUGCAUUCUUCAAUUUCUAUUGAAGAUAAAUGCUGAUAUGCUAAAUCUUAAUUUUACAUAUUGUAGAUCCUACAUUGGUGUGUAUGUUUGAUAUUUUAAUGUUCUUGUUGCAGAUUAAUCGUUCAUGAUAGUACACUGCUUUCUUAAGAGGAUUUUGGCUUUAUAAAUAGUAAUAUCAAGUUUGACUUGUUCCAUGAGAUAGCAACUGGGAAAGAAGUGCUGGAAGAACCAUGCCUGCUUUAGUACUAACCAGGGCCCUCUUGUUAAUUGGGGAUUCUUUAGCUUUCAGAAAAGUUUCACAGUUUACACGGAUAGCUCCAUCUCAAGGUCAAGGCAAUGUUCGCUUUUUAAGUGGCAGUGGAUCCCUCACUCUAGCUAGCCUUGGAUUGAAGAAUGAAGUUAAGACAGUAAGUGCAAAUGAGAAAAACAAGCUCGAGCAGGGCAUUUCAACGGUUGAGUUCCCCAAGAGCAGAGAGAAGAAAAGAGUUAGUGGCAGUAAAACAGGAUUUGUUAGGGAGAAAAACCCAGUAGAUAUAAGCACCGCGCCAUUUUCUGCGAAGUCAUUUUCAGAGCUUGGCCUUCCACCUUUGUUGGUCGAAAGUCUUGAGAAGGAAGGCUUUACAAUUCCGACUGAUGUUCAGGCUGCUGCAGUGCCAACUGUUCUUAAUAAUCAUGAUGUUGUGAUUCAGUCCUAUACAGGUUCAGGAAAAACAUUAGCUUAUCUUCUUCCCAUACUAUCUCGAGUAGGUCCGUUGAGGGGAGAAAGUUUAAAUGGCCAUGAAACUGGGAAAAAAAUUGACAUCGAAGCAGUUGUAGUAGCUCCUUCAAGGGAACUCGGCAUGCAGAUUGUCAGGGAAGUUGAAAAGAUAUUAGGACCAGCAAAUAAGAAACUAGUCCAGCAGCUUGUAGGGGGUGCAAACCGAUCGAGACAGGAGGAAGCUUUGAAGAAGAACAAGCCCGCGAUCGUAGUGGGAACACCUGGGCGGAUAGCAGAGAUUAGUGCAGCUGGAAAGCUUCCUACCCAUGGUUGUCGUUACUUGGUAUUGGAUGAAGUUGAUCAGCUCCUUGCUUUCAGUUUCCGGGAGGACAUGAAGCGGAUAUUAGACCAUGUGGGGAGAAGACCUGGUGCAGGGGGGAGAGAGUCAAAUAGUCCACUUCUCAAGAGAGCUGCGCGUCAGACUAUCAUGGUCUCUGCAACAGUGCCCUUUUCAGUUAUAAGAGCAGCAAGAAGUUGGGGUUGUGAUCCACUUCUCAUCCAAGCCAAUAAAGUUGUCCCACUCGAGUCCGUCACUCCUUCCGUACCUGUUAAUAUAUCAGGAACGUCUUCUACUACUAGUUCAAGCUCGAAUGUACAAGUAAUGCCUGAUGUUCGGAGCUUACCCCCCAAUUUGCAGCAUUAUUACACUAUUAGUAGGAUUCAGCACAAGGUUGAUACGUUAAGAAGGUGUGUGCAUGCUCUGGAUGCCAAGUGUGUAAUAGCUUUUAUGAACCACACAAAACAACUGAAAGAUGCUGUCUUCAAACUAGAAGCUCGUGGUAUGAAAGCUGCAGAGUUACAUGGUGAUCUCAGCAAACUUGUAAGAUCGACAAUCUUAAAGAAGUUCAGAAAUGGGGAGGUUAGGGUGCUGCUAACAAAUGAGCUUUCAGCUAGAGGCUUGGAUUUACCUGAAUGUGAUCUUGUGGUUAAUCUGGGGUUACCUACUGACUCAGUUCACUAUGCACAUCGAGCUGGUCGUACGGGCAGGCUUGGCCGCAAGGGCACAGUAGUAACCAUAUGUGAAGAGCCAGAAGUCUUUGUUGUAAAAAAGCUACAGAAGCAGCUUUCCCUCUCCAUCCAGGCUUGUGAAUUUUCUGAGGGAAAUCUUGUCACUGUAGAAGAUUAAACUACGUAGCACAUGCUUCUGUAAAAUUUUUACAAGACCAUUCACUAAAGACAACUGGAAUUCGUUUACUAAUGGUGAGAGCUGAAAACGUUGUUUCUUGCCAUUAACAUGCCAAUUCAGAUGCGAUUUUGUCUUCUAAAGAAUGUGCCGAGGCAGUCUACAUUGGAUCUGAAUAUCUGAUGGUAUUGUGAACGUGUUGCUUGCUUCAACCUCUACUUAUUUAGAAUCAUAUAUGCAAGUCAUCUGAGAAAAAUGUUAUUUAAGAUCUGCUGAAUAUAAAUAAAUAGAUGUAGAAGAUGUGAAUUAAUGUUCUUAAUGUUGAAUUGGUGACAACUGCAGGUUUUUAACUGAACCUACUUCUUUGUUCAUGAAGGAAGGUUGAAAAUUUUGGUAUAUGGAGUGGCUAGUGUUUUGUAGUAUUUAUAAUUUUGUUCCUGACUAAGAGAAGAUAAUACUCCUGUUGAUCUAUUAUAUCCAUGGCAUUAGUGGAAGUAGUAAAGCAUUUUUUAUAGAAAGAGAAUUGUAAAUUGUUACUUUGAAGCAAGGAAAUUCAAACUAGUUUGUUACUACUUAUACUGUUUUUUCACCAACACAAUGGCACAACAUUAAUAAUGUAUAUGGAUAUUUCUACCUAAAUUUUCUCUUCUUUGCUAUAAACUUCCAAACCCCUCUUCUUAUUGUUAUCAGCUUCUACCAGACCAUUAGUGUAGUCGAGGAUAGUUGGUAUAUGCCACCCAAUUGCUACUUGUGAUGCUUCAAUUAUGUCUCAUUUUACGCUAUGUUUGCUUUGUCAAUCCUGGAGAUGAAGUCUAUGUUCAAUUCCCGGUGCAUCACCAUAUGAUCCUUUUGCACAGCUUGUAGCCUGAUAAGAGUGCAGAGAUUGCAAGGACCACGUAAGCAAUAAAUGACAUGCAAACAGCAAUAAUAGCUGCCUUCCAGAGAGUGGUAUGGCCGUCCAUCUGUUGAAUAACUUGUAUAGUUACUGAAGAAGAGGACACAAGGAGGUAACCUGCCAACUGUUAAACAUUCUGCUUUAGAGAAUUAAGUUUUCGAAAGCUUUAUCUGCAGUGAAUGAGGAGGAGAACUAGAGAAAAGCAUUCAGAAAAAUUGAAAUUUAGGCUGCUAGAUAGUCAAUGCUUCUAUUCCUGUUUCUUUCGUUCUUGGAUAAAGAUAAAGAUGAUGCCUAUUUCUUGCCAUUAGUGUUCGACAUAAAGUUUUACUGUUAGUGGUUAAUAGAGCAUAGAUUCUUUAUGAUACAUCGGGUGACAUCCAGAGAGAGAGAGGAGUAAAUUCUUGGUACUAGUUCUAACUAAAGGUGGGGGUGCUACCAUUUCUGUGGUCAUAGUUAUAUGUGAAACACCGAGCCAACUUCUUUUAGGUUGUGAACUUGGAGAAAAUCUCAAGCUAAUUAAAGUUCAAUUAGUACCUGAUCGAGUAUGAAACUGAGAUAGUCGGAGGUCCUAUCGGAGAUCAAGACCCCUCCAUAAGCAAUGUCACAAACUCUCUUGAAGAGUUGAAAGGCCGAGUAGAUAAAAGCUAAUAUGCUUACUGUGAAGCAGUACCUGCAGUAGUGUAAAAACAGCUCUCAAAACCAUAGGACUGAUUGUGUUACUCUUAAUUCAACCAGCUUGGUAGUGGUUCUUACAUUAAUUGUGGGUUAUCCCGUAAUCUGGAAAUCCCUCGUUUGGUCCGUGUUGGUGAUGGUACAGCUAACGAAAGAGCAGAGAUGAAAGAGAACAGGAGUGCAAGUGACCUUAGGGUAAUAUCAUAUGUAUAUAGAGAAGGCCUUGAUCUCAACCUUGUCGAUGCCACUGAGAACGCAUAUGGUGAUGGCGUUGGCAAAGGUGGUUGUGCAGCAGGAGAGUGUGGAGUUGAUGAAGAAGGAGAAGCACCAGAUAACAUUCUCUGAGCAAUCACCAUCACAUUACUUUCUUCUUUCAUAGUGCUCUCCUUUUUCCUACUUCUUAGCAAAUGAUUUUACUUAAAAGAGCAACUUGUUUUAAUUGUAAAUUGAUCAAUAGCAAGAAAGAACAAAGUCUGAGAUUGUUAUGCAGCCAAUUGAGCAAAUUUGCAUGUUACACACUGAUAAUUGGCUGGUGAUAAGUCGUUUCAAGGACAGGAUAGUUGGUUACCAACUUCUGGAAGUAGGUGACAAAGGGAUGUGUCUUAAGUCAACCAUAUACCAUCUGAAGUGGAGCCAUGGAGUACCUGAUCAAGUUGCUACCAUGUAAUCAGAAGGUCAUGGAUUCUAACUGUGGAAACGGAAACAACCUCUAGCACAAAAAAUGUAGGGUAAGAUCGCAUACAAUAUACCCUUGUGGUCCAGUCCAUCCCCAGACCCUGCCAUGGCGGAAGAUUUAAUGCCCCGGGCUGCCCUUUUUAGCCAUAUACCAUCUCUUCACAUUUCUAAGGAUAUGUAAAAAGUCAACUCCAGACCAUAUCUUCAUCAACAAUGGAAGUAGAGAAUUGGAGACAUUUGAAGGGCAUCACUCAAUAGUUUGCACUGAGCCAUUGGCAAUCAGGAUGUGGGACUUCUAGCUUCAAAGUUCAAUCGAUGCCUAUGUUAAGAUAACCCUCAAGACAACUCAAAAUCUUGUGCCCACAGAUGGGAAUGAUUUGGGAAAGACAUUACAACCUAAUUCAUGUUCAUAUUACCAGAAGAGUUGUAAUUUAUGCAUGUCGCGCCAAAACAUAAAACUCAACGCAGCUAUUAUCACCUUCAGUAGUAGCAUAAUAGACCAGAUCCUUUAUUCUUUUCGAAUGAAAUUACAAUCAGUAAAGAAAUUUGGCUGAAGGGAUCAUUAAAGCAUUAGGGAAAACAAGAACAGGAUUCACCAGCACACAACCAUGAACAGCUAUUAUGCAGCUAAUUGUUGAACAAUUUAGUCUUAGGAUACAUUUAUGUUUGCAUAAAAUGUAAAGUACUAGGAUGUCGACUCUAGUUUUGUCCUCCCAAGUGCUACUUUGUAUUAUUUAACAUUUCAAGGCUUUGAUUGGUAACCCCAAGGAUUUUGGCUUGCCCAUUUCCACUGGUCCCUGCACAUCUCAUUUAUACCAUAUUUUGCCCUGAAAAAAGGUAAAAAUGAUUUGAUCUCAGCAUUGAUACAUCUCUUUGAACUGGUGGAACGAAAGACCAAUGCAAGAAUAUUAAUAGGGGGAGAGAGGAGGGGGGGAAGCACGGCGCAAGCAACAGUUGCUCCAAGGAUAGAAAAAUAACCAUUUACUACUUACUUCCAACCGAGUUCCUUCUCAGCCUUUUCGGUUGAUGCAUAAACAGCAGUGGCAUCACCUGGUCGUCUUGGACACAUUUUGAGUGGGAUUUUCUGAAAGCAAAAAAAAUAUUAGUACAGCAGAGGACGAGCUUGUUGCCUUGUUCAAAUAAUUCAAAUGCUCUUGAGGUGCGUUUUAGCAUGUUAAACGUGUUUUAUAUAUUCGUUAAGAGACCUUUCCGGACACUUUUUCAAAAGCAGCAACCAUCUCCAGGACAGAUUUCCCUUUCCCAGUACCCAAAUUGUAGGCAACGCAACCUAAUGCAAGCCAUUAAAGAGAAGAACAAAUGUCACACAAGAUGCUACCUUUAAUAGAAAAAUAUGAAAUAGCAAAUCAUUCGACGAAAGUGUAUCAUUUAUCUUGAACACGGCACAAAAGAAUCCAGAUCUUAACUUUGCUUUGGAAAGGAUUACUUACCUAUAUCAUUUUGCCGUAGAAGCCUCUGAAGUGCAACAACAUGACCGUCCGCCAAAUCCAUAACAUGGAUAUAGUCUCGUAUCUAGUGAGCAAUAGAUUAUAAAUCGUUUAUCAGUCCAAGUAUGAACGAAAUAUGUUGAAGGUAGCAAGUUCAUGCCAAGAAUCUUCUUGGAUUUUCUACUGUAUUUCUGUCUAUUUUAUUCAAUAUAUAUCACAGUUCAACAAGUAGUUCCAGCUAGUAAAAGUUUUGCUCACUCUUCAUUUUCUUCUGCUUUCGCAUGAAAGAUAAUCGGAUGGUUAAUUAUAGUCUUUCAAUUUCUUUCUUUUAUUUUCUCAUACAAAAGAAGCAAUACACGCAAAAGGUCAGCCAACAAAACCUACCGCGGUACCAUCAGGUGUAGGGUAGUCGGUUCCAUAUACGUUCAACUCCGGCAAUCUACCAACAGCUACUUGCUGAAUGUAAGGCAUAAGAUUGUUGGGAAUGCCCUUUGGAUCUUCUCCAAGUUUGCCACUUUCAUGAGCUCCUACUGGGUUGAAAUAUCUCAACAGUAUGAUAUUCCAAUCUUGAUCUGCCUUCUGAAUAUCCCGAGCAAUAUCUUCAAGAAAGAGCUAAUUAAUUAAACGAAACAAAAGUUAGUUACGUAAUUUACAGAAUGAGAUAAUAUCGCAGGAACAAUCUCUGCUCACUACAAAAAUAAGAGACCACUAUUGACAAUACAAACCUUUGUUCGACCAUAAGGAUUCAUAGCCUUCAAUUCAAAAUCCUCCACACACGGGAUCUUUUCAGGCUGACCAUAAACUGUUGCAGAUGAAGAAAAAACCAACUGCAGUUUCACACAAUCAGAUUCAAAAGUUAUCAAUCUGACGAACCGACUCAAUACCCUCCUACGAAUUCAACAAUAUUUCACAUCCGGAACAAACGAACCCCAUUUCGCCCCCUAGCUACGCAAAGGCUAAAUGAGAUCUUGAAAGAAGCUCAUAUUUACUAUUUUCCUUCAAAUCCUACCAAAACUACAAGUACGGGGUAGCAACGAUCAUGAACACUACAGAUUCCAACUUUCCCUGAAUGCAUAACGUACUUCAGCAAUUCAUAUAUAAGUGAAACAAAAAAUAUAUUGAAAGACAUACCUUCUUACAAUUAUACUUGGUCAUGACCGAAUACAAAGUUAUAGAUCCAAUCAGAUUGUUCUCAAAAUAAAGAAAGGGAUGAGCAACACUCUCUCCAACAGCCUUAAGUCCAGCAAAAUGGACCACAGCAGCAAACCUAUUUCCAUAUAUAUCACCACACAGUGAAUAUCAAGACACACCAUAGUAGUGCAUUCAAAGGAAACAAUAUAAUUUGAAGUAAGAGAUUUGCAUACUUCUUUUUAGAAAAUAACUUCUCCAAGUCAUCUUUGUUUCUGAUAUCACCCUGCCAUCAAGAAACAAAUAAGGUAAAAUCCCAAUUCCCAAAGCAAGUGGAAAUUCCAAUUUUAGUACUAUUGUGUAUUUUUAAGGUAUGUAUGUAAGAUCAACAUUCAUGACAAAACCAAAAUUACCCUUUUCUUAAAUAGUAGGAUUAAACAGACCAAGUUGCAAAAUCCUAUAGCAAAUUAAAAGGCAAAAAUGGCAUACAAAUAGCAGCAAGCACUUAUCAAGAUUUUCUUUUUUUAUUAGUACCUGUUUUAAGAAGAUGAUAACAACAUGAUACAGACAAAAGUACCCCCCUCAUCCUCCAACCACCAACAAUCACCCCAACCCAACCCACCCCAAAGAAUAAAACAAAUCCUUAAAUGUAGGAGCCUCAUAACAUUCAAUGGCUACAAAAAUCUAACCUAAACAUAUGAUCAUAUGAAGAAAAAAUUUAGCCAUAAUUCUCCUACAUAACCAAAAGGAAUAGUUCUUGUGAAUUUGUCAAGCCCAGAUAUAUACAAAAUUCUUCAUUUUUCUUUCAUUUCCUUCCCUUUUUAGUACUUAGUACUAUUGUGUGUUUAAAAUAUGUAAGACCAGUAUUUUAGGCACAACCAAAAUUACCCUUUUCCUACACAGUAGGAUUAGACAGACCUAGUUGCAAACUUCCAAGCAAAUUUAAAAGACAAAUGGCAUACAAAUAGCAACAAACACUUAUCAAGAUUCUUUUUUUUUUUUAAAUUAUCUAUAAAGAAAAAUCAAGAUUACCUUUUACAAUAAGAUGAAAACAGCAUGAAGCAAGGCACUGAACCCCCCACCCCCACCCCCCAAAAAGUAAAGCAGAUCAAUAUUACCCAAAUAUUACAAGCUGGGCAGAGCCUCCCAAGCCCCCACUCAUGGAAUUACACUCGGUUAUUUUGACUUAAAAACACUUAAAAUAAUUCAAUCAAAACAAACUUUAAAUGUAGGAGGCCUUAAACAGUCAAUAACAACAAAAUGUUAGCUUAAACACAUGAUCAACUCAAAAAAAAAUUGAGCCAUAAUUCUCCUACAAAAGGAAUAAUUCUUGUCAACCCCCACCCCCACCUCCACCCCAAUCCCCGUUUUUUUUGGUUAUCAAGAAAAAGGGUGUUCUUUUCUUUGAUCAAAAAGAACAUGCAAAAAAGUAAGUAUUAAAAAUGUACUCACAAACACACACACCAUUUUUCUAGGAAAAGAACUUACCAAAUGGAAUUCAAGGAAUAAUUCUUGUGAACUUGUCAAGUCCAUAAACAUAAAAAAUUCUCUCUCUCUCACACACACACCAUUUUUCUUUCAGAAAAAGAUUGUUGGCUUUGAUAAAGAACACUAUCAAGAAGUUAAAAAAAAAAAAGGACAUACCAAAUGGAAUUCAAGAUUCUGUGAAAGCUGAGGCCCAACUAAUUCUCUAACUCUAUCAACAGCUUCUUCAACAGAAUUAUGAAAGUUAUCAAUGAUUGUAACCUUAAACCCUUCAUUCAGUAGCUGCACCACUGUGUGUGUUCCAAUGAAACCAGCUCCACCAGUCACCAAUAUAUUUUCUUGAUGUUCAACACCCAUUUUACAAUAUAGAAAAAAAGAUUGAAUCUUUAUUGUAUCAAGAAGCAGUUUUUGUGAAGAAAAACCAAAAGGGGUGGAGGACGGGGGCGUGGGGGUUGGUAGUAGCUAGUAGUAAGAAGAAGAUACGUGGAGGAAAAGGGAAGGGGGUAUAUAUAGGAAAAGAGUUUGAGCAAAUCAAGACUAUAUUGGAAAAGUGGAUAAGCAAUGAGGUUAAUUAAGGAAAAAGCAUGAAGUGUUUUUUUUUUGAGGGUGGGCGGGGGUUUGUGGAUUCUUGGAAGAAGAUAGGAGAAUUUCAUGGAAUUUUGGAUUUUUUUUUAUUUUUAAUCCGGUAUUCAAUACUCGCAUUGAAAUCCGAUUAAUUUGAAUUUACCUCGAGUAGAACUCCAUUCAGGAAUAACAUUCUCUAGCAAGAAUUUUUUCAUACCCAGAACUCAAAUCUGAACCCUUUAAUUAGUGGAGGAACAGUUCUAUCCACUGCACCACAUCCUUUGAUGGUUGAAAAUCUAAUUAUGUCGAGAGAAAUUACUCCAAACUUUUAUUUUAGUUGGUCCUCAAAAUAUUUGCUUUUACUUUAAGUUAGUUGUAUUAUUUAUGAAAUUACAAAAAAAUUAUUAUAUAUUUUGAAUAUUAUUCCUUUUAUUAAUGAUUAGCUGACUGUAUAAAAUAUAUGUAUUUAAAUUUAUAUAUUUUAAAAAAUAAUUUAGUAAAAUAAGCUUCUAAUAAAUACCUUCUUUUUAAAGAGAUUGUUAAGUCUAAUAAGUUACUACAAUAUUUUUUAAUUGGAGAGUUAACACUCUACUCUCCAUUAUAAAUAAGCGAUUCUUUUAACUUAGACAUUAAUUCUUUUAAUUUGAAUUCAUCACUAGAAAAUAAAGAGUAUCUUUAAUAAUAUAUUGCAGAAAAGGUAACUCAAUAUUCCGUCCAUUUCAUAUUAAUAGUUCGUGUUAUUAUGAACACAUAUCUCAAAUUACUUGUCCAUUUAUUAAUUUUAAAUAAAAUUAAUUAAAGGAUUUCCACUUUACUCAUAUAACUGAUUCUUAUUUUUGGGAAAAAAAGUUUCUUAAAAGGUAUGAUUUCUUUAAGAGGUGUGUAAUAAAAAAAAAAUUAAUAUAAAUAAAGAGUGUAGAUUUUUUAAUUAUGUAAAAUUCUCUUAAAUAUUGUUUAUAAUUUCUUCAAUUAUCAAAAACAUUUUCUUUUUUUUUUUUUUAAAAAAAAAGAAAGAUAAAAACAUCACUUACUUUGUACCAGAAGAAAAGUAGUAUAAAGGGGGUGGGGGGCAUUCUUGGAAAAAGAAUUGGGAUGAGAUGAGAAUUUUAUGGAAGUUUUAAAGGUUAUGAUUUUAUGAUGAUUUAAAAAAUUUAUUAAUGGAAUUAAUCGAUAACUUGAUAAUAAUCGUAUUAAAUUAUAGUAAUUGUUAUGAUAUAUAUCAAUUAUAGUGAAUGUCUAUCAAAAUUUAUUUGAUGUCUAUGUGUGAAACUAGGAACAAAUUCAUAGAAGGGCUUCCUUCAUUGUAAAUUAUCCCUCAAAAAAAGAAAUAAGAAUCAUUCUCUCUAUUCUCUGUAUUCUCUCUACUCUUCUUCUUGUUCUUUAUUAUUUUAUAAUGCCUAGCUGAUUCUAAUUUGAAUUCGUUGCGCCCUUUUUUCCUAUUUUAAUAUAAUGAUUUCAAUAAAGUAAAAGAAGGGCAGUGGUACUUUGUUUUGUUGUUAUGAAACUCGUCGUUCUUUCUAUCUUAUUUGGCAUUAAUAAUUGAGUUAUUUAUAUUAUUGUAUUCUUAUGUAACUAAUUGCUUAAUUAAAAGGUAAUUAAUUAUUUAUUAAUGAUUUUCACUUUGUACAAAGAAAACAAAUUUAAUAUAUAUCUCAUUUGGUGUAUGUUAUUUUAUUUGAAGAUAUAGAUAAUUUUCAAAGUAAGCUGUCAAAUUGUGAAGAUAUAUAUUUGAUUGAUUCUGGCACUACACAUAUGAUAUUCAAAGACGAGAAAUAUUUCUCUCAUCUAAACAUGGCAAGAUUAAUGUUACUACAAUUUCUGAUAGUGCUAAUUUGAUUGAAGGCUUCGAAAAAGCCAUUAUAAUCUUACCCAAGGAAACUAAACUCAUCAUAAACAAUGUCAUGUUUUCUCCUAAGUCUCAAAGUUUUAAAGAUAUCUGUGAAAAUGGUUAUCAUAUCAAGACAAUUGAUGAGAUGAAUUUUGAAUAUCUUGGUAUCACCAAGAAUGUCUCUGGGCAGACAUGUGUUAUUGAAAAGUUCUCUGCUUUAUCUUCGGGCCCGUAUUGGACAAAAAUUUGUGCAAUUGAGGCACAUUCUAUAGUAAACCGAAAGUUUCAAUACUUUUAUACUUUGGCAUGAUCAUCUGGGACAACCAGGAUCAAUAAUGAUGAGAUGAAUCAUAGAAAAUUCAAAUGGGCAUCCAUUAAAGAAUUUGAAGGUUCUUUCGAAUGAUGAAUUUUUAUGCAAUGCUUGUUAUCAAGGCAAACUGAUUGUGAGGCCAUCGCCAACAAAAGUUGGUAUUGAAUCCCCAAGUUCUUGGAACACAUAUACGGGAAUAUUUGUGGACCCAUUCACCCACCUAGUGGGUCGUUUAGAUACUUUAUGGUCCUAAUAGAUGCUUCUUCUAGAUGGUCUCAUGUGUGUCUUUUAUCAUCUCACAACUUGGCAUUUGCAAAAUUAUUGGCACAAAUAAUACGAUUACGGGCACAGUUUUCCAAUAAUCAAAUUAAGUCUAUUCGCCUUGAUAGUGCCGCAGAAUUUUCAUCACAAGCGUUUAAUGACUAUUUCUUAUCGAUUGGGAUAAGAGUGGAACAUCCUGUACCCCAUGUUCACACUCAAAAUGGUUUUGCUGAGUCAUUAAUUAAACGCCUACAGUUGAUAGCAAGACCAUUGCUUAUGAAAACUAAGUUGUCCACUUCUGUUUGGGAUCAUGCAAUUUUGCAUGUUGCAACACUUGUUCGUCUUAGACCGACAAAUUAUCUUAAAUUUUCUCCGCUGCAACGCUGCAAUUGGUUUUGGGUCAAGAGCCUAAUAUAUCUCAUUUGAGAAUUUUUGAGUGCGGUGUUUAUGUGCCUAUUGCACCACCAAACCACACCAAGAUGGGUCCCCAAAGAACGUUAGAAAUUUAUGUUGGGUUUGAAUCACCCUCCAUUAUUCGCUAUCUUGAACCAUUAACAGGAGAUAUGUUCACUGCUCAAUUUGUAGAUUAUCGGUUUGAUGAGACUUGAAAUGCAUUUGAUGGAUGUGGUAACAGCCUAUCUAUAUGGAUCACUUGAUAAUGAGAUAUACAUAAAAAUUUUUGAAGGAUUUAAGAUAUCGAAAGCAUAUAGCUCAAAGCCUCGGAAAAUGUAUUCCAUUAGAUUGCAAAGAUCAUUGUAUGGUUUGAAGCAACCUGGACGCAUGUGGUAUAACCAUCUUAGUGAAUAUUUAUCUAAAGAAGGUUAUACGAAUGAUAAAAUUUGCCCAUGUAUUUUUAUAAAAAAAACAACAUCGAAGUUUGUUAUACUUGCUGUCUAUGUCGAUGACAUAAACCUUAUUGGAACGUUAAUAGAGCUUCAAAAGGCAACUGAUUACCUAAAGAAAGAAUUUGAGAUGAAAGAUCUCGAAAAGACAAAGUUAUGCCUUGGUUUGCAAAUUGAGCAUUUGACAAACUGUAUCUUUGUCCAUCAAUCUGCCUACACAGAAAAGGUGUUGAAACGAUUCUAUAUGGAUGGAGCACAUCCAUUAAGUACUCCGAUAGUUGUUCAAUCAUUUGAUGUAAAUAAGGAUCCGAUAGCACAACUGAAAGGUGGAUUCAUAAAAGGAUUUAGAAUGAAGCACAUUUCGCCAAAGCUCUUCAAUACACAUGAGCUCCAAAAGAAUGGUGAUAUUGACGUACAACAGAUUCUUUCAAGUGACAAUGUUGCUGAUUUAUUCACCAAGUCUCUUCCAACUGCAACUUUCAAGAAAAUGGUACACAAGAUCGGAAUGCAAAGAUUCAAGGAUUUUCUUAUUAGGGGAGUUAAUACGCGCUGUACUCUUUUUCCCUUACGAGGUUUUGUCCCACUGGAUUUUCCUUGUAAGUUUUUUAACGAGGCAGCCUAUAUGCGUAUUGUUAUACAUUCAAGGAGGAGUGUUAUGAUAUAUAUCAAUUAUAGUGAAUGCCUAUCAAGAUUUAUCAAGAUUUAUUUGAUGUCUAUCAGGAUUUGAUGUAUUUGUCUUUUAGUGUGAAACUAGGACAAAUUUUCCCUAUAAAUAGAAGGCUUCCUUCAUUGUAAAUUAUCCCUCAAGAGAAGAAAUAAGAAUCACUCUCUCUCUAUUCUCUCUACUCUUCUUCUUGUUCUUUAUUAUUUUAUAACAAUAAUUAAUAUUUUAAUAAUUUUAUAAUUCUUUAACAUGUUUAUAAUUCAAUAACUUUUAAAAUCAAAUCCACUGAUAAACAGACCUAAUUUUGAGUGGGAAAGUUCCCCUUGUAGUAUUAUGUACAAAUUUAGUAGAUACUAAUGUUUUAAAUGAUAAAAUUGGGAGUCACUCCAUAAUUUAUUUUGGGAUAGAAAGUUUUUAUAAAUGUUUUAAGAUAUACUAUCUUAAGAGGUCAAACUCUUAUUCCACAAUCUUUACUUAAGGGGUUGAAUAUAUAUAUGUAUGUAUGUAUGUAUAUUGAAUAUGACUUACCUACCAAGUAAAUAAUAUAUACUUUAUGUUAUUAUUCUAGAAUUAAGGAUUGGUAAAUAUAAAUCUUAUUGUGAACAUAUAACAUGAUGCUUAGCUAGCACUUACUAAAAUUUGUACAAUUUAUGACUUACCUAACCAAGUAAGUAAUAUUGUUAUUCUAGAAAUUAAGGAUUUGGUGAAUUCAAAUUUUAUUGUGUGAACAUAUAACAUGAUGCCUUAGAUAUAGACACUUACUAAAAAAUUGUACAUUUGUUGCUCUUAAAUUAUAUAGUAGUAAUAAUUUUUAACGUAUUCUUCGUAUUUGUUUAUAUUUUAGUCUAUGUUUAGAUAUGGUUAUUAUUUUUUUGAAAAACAUUAAAAGAGAUCAUUGAACCAUACUACUUGCAUUGUGGGUAACAGUUUAUUCGCACAUAAUGUUGCAGUAAGUCAUGAUUAAUUAGCAUAUAUUUCACCUUAUUCAAUUAUUUAAUAAUCUCUCUUUCAUCGUAUCAAAUAUAUUGUCUUAUAUUUAUAUAUGUAAAUUAGUAAAAAUUUAUUGAAAUUGCAAUAAAUAGUAAGUAUAAAUUUACAAUUUAAAAAAUAUAAUUAAUGUAAUGCUAAAAAUGUUAAGGAUCGAAUUCAUAAAUUUUAUUUAUUUUUUGAUAAACUACGGAUCUCGAUUUAAUUAAUUAAUUUAACCUUAAACCAAAAUAUAAUGCUGAAAUUAUCUUUCAUAUAGUCAUGACUUGAGACUUAUAUCUCUUUCAAUCAUAGUACCAAAUAUCUCUUUCACUAUGAGGCAAGAACUUUUUGAUGUUAUUGAAAUUAUUUUAUUCAAACAAAUUUAUUUUGAAUUACAUUAACUUUGAAUUAUUAUUACUAUCAUUAUCUGUCUACUGGUCGGGACGCUUUUUCUUUUUUGUUUUGAUGUAAUAUUAUUCAUUUUACGAAAUUUUAUUGCUUACUUAGUAAUCUUUUUUACAGUAAAUUUCAUAUGAUUCAUCAGCUCCAUACCAAUUGCGAUCACCCAUUCCGAUCAAAUUCCAUCAACUUCUUUGUGUGUAUAUUGUGGGGGGUUUUGGACGAACCCAGUAGUUUUUUUUUUUUUUUGCAGAUUCUAUAUUUGUAUUAGAAAAUUUAAUGAAUAUAUAUAUAUAAAGAAAAAUGUCUGAACCACCACAACAUUAAUAAGAUGAUGGCUCAGUGGUCAGGAGAAAGGCGGAAAAGCCUUCCGCUGUGUGGGGAUUUGGGUUUGAACCUCGCCCCUGUCAAUGUUUAUUGUUUUUUUAGCUCGAGAUCAUUGUACCGUCAUAAAUUUUUUGAACCCCCAAACACCAAAUUCUGACUCCGCCUCUAUCUAUAUUUGUUGUUCGACUGAAACUAAAUCAAAAAUACUUUGACAUGAUGUGAUAUUAUUUGCUUUAAACUAAUCUGGCCAAUUUUCUUAAAAUCAUCAUUCUAUUAAAAAUUUUCUUUAAAAUGUCAUUCUUAAAUAUACUGAAUUUUAUUUGCACACCUAUAUAUAUCAUCAUCUCUCACUAUAGGCCAAUGGGUACAUGAUUUUGUAAUAUUUGAUACACCAAACUUUUUGAAAAGUCAUUUUCAUACGUCAAGGCUAACGUGGAAUUCCUUAUCUUUCCAAAAUUUCGAUUUUCCAGAUUUCUUUUCGCUGCUCCUCCUAACUGAAAAUCUGAAAACUGAUAGCUCAGUUUGUCUAAAAAAUAAUUAAAAAAUGAAAAAAAAUAUAUUUUUCUUCUUUGCCUUUUUGCAUUUUAUUUGUUGUCUCUAUUUUUUUUUGGUUUCCCAUCCAGUGUUCGGUGUCCGUAUUGGAGCCCCGACUAAUCCGGAUCGCGCGUUGCAGGGCCCAUUAAGAUGGCAGCGCUUCCAACAGAGUUUUUUCCAUACCCAGGGUCGAACCCUCGACCUCUAAUUAAGGGUGGAACAGCUUCAUCCACUGCAUCACAACCCAUGUUGGUUAUUUGUUGUCUGUAUUAUUCGUUGCAGUGUUAUAUUUGUUUCUUGUUCUGGGGUUUUAUUAAUAUAUGUUGUUUCGGAUAGAACGACGGUAAUAUUAAUUCGUGGUAGUUAUGUUCUAUUAUUAUCUAUUGAUUUGUUAUUAUCUCUUGUUUCUGAUACUUUUAUUACGACUAUCUUUAUCUUGAGCCGGAGAUCGUAGACUAUAUGUUGUUCGGACCGCACUUUGCGAAAUAUAAUAGAUAUGUCUGUGUUGAUGUUGCCUUUUUGUAUUUUACUACUCAAAUCGUACAUUAAAAAGGUUAAUAACCACCACCAAAGGAUGUGGUGCAAUGGAUGAGGCUGCUCCUCCCUUAACCAGAGAUUUCGAGUUCGAGCCCUAGGUAUGAAAAAAUCCUUGAUAGGGAGCGCUACCCCAAAAUGGAGCCCUACCCGAUGCGAAUUCGAAUCAAUUGGGCUUCAAUGCGGAUACCGGACACCAGAUGAGGAAAAAAAAAAAGGAUAAUAACAAAUAUCAAUAAUCCUAAUUCAAGGAUAAUAAUUCUAAUCUUAUCAUAAAGAGAAAAAGUGUCCAAUAAGAAAGAGUUAGUACUAUUAUAUUGAGGACAUAUUAGUUAAAUAAUUGAUAGAGAAAAGCAAUAAUUGGUUCUUAUCAUUUUAUCCAAAAAGUGUUUUAGAGAUAGCUAAGGAUGCAAAUUGCAAGGAUGGUCUACAAGAAAUGCCGACGAUAUACGUCCAUAUCCUAAAACCAAUACUAUAACAACCUGCUCGGUAUAAUUUCACAAGUGCGAUCUAAAAAGAAAUUGAUGUUACAAGUCAUAUGCCUAUUUUUGUUAGGUAGAGAAACUGUUUUCACUGAGACCUUGGCACAAAUAAUAAUCCUAAAAUCACUUGAAAACCCAGUGGAAGUGUAACAUUUUCAUAGAACAUGAGAGGAAAUAUAAUUGCAGUAUCAUAGGGUCGUAUAUAACACAUUAAAACUGAGGUGUCUGAGCUAACUUACACAUACAUAGGAUACCACCAAGACUACAACAGAUAGGACGAAAUCGAAAUUAAACUUGACCUCACGAUGCUCAACACACUCAUCGACUACUAGGCCAUACCCUUAGGUGAGACCUAAAAUUUCUCUCUCCAAUGGGUCAGGAAAAUAUAAUUAUGUAUUAAACAAUGACGUGGAACAAGACAGCACCAAAAGCACAUUUUCGCAACAAUGUAAAAUGCCAUAGGCAAUUGAUUUUAAAGCGUAUUUACAAACAACAGGGCAGGGGAAAACAGUUUUUCAGAGUACAUAUCCACACAAGAAUUGUGCCAACUCCCCUAAAACAAGAAUUACUUCAACAAGCUCAUCUUGUAGUGUACCUUUUGUGAUAUUUCCUUAUUAGGCAAUCACGCGGUUUAUGUGAAUGCCAAAAUCACAGGCUUCCAUCUCCAACAAAUUCUUCAAGUGUAUCGGCAUGUCAUUGCUUCACUGGUCUUUUGUUACCUCGAUCAUUGACAUGCGUUGAGAAUUCUCCGACUGAUAUCAGUUAGUAUGAUUUGACUGAUCAUCUGUCGUCUAAAGCUGAUGCCUAGAAUCAAAAAAGAAAAUUAUAAAUAGAAAUACAUAAAGUUCAACAUCGUGGUAGAAUGCAGGACUGGAUCAAAGUAGCUCAGAGGGAGGACAGAGGAACAUUGAGGCAGGAAAUAUAUGACGUCUCUCUUUGCAGAAUGGUCACAUAUAAUAUGCAUGUAUACUCAUAUAUGCACAUAAUACCGUUCCUCCCCUUUCUGAUUACCAUCUUUUCAGCUUAAUGAAUGAGUGAUCAACUAAGGAAUAGGUACGACACUAAAUUACAACUUCACUCCUGCCAUAAGUAUUUUCAGUUUCGCAAUAAGGAAAUGCAAAAAUAAAUCUAAUUAGGGAAUACGCAACGAAUCUAGAUCAAUAGGUCAUCUUCAGAUCAGUUUGAAGUCACAAAACCUGCAGGCUCAAGGGUUCUUCGAGACAAAAUAGCUAGAAGCUUGAAGAGUUCACUUGUUUUAUACAUUGAUUUAACUAAAACAAUGGUCCAACAUCAAUUUGAAGUUGCCUUCUAUUCUAGUUAACCAAUGUAAGGAGCCUAAGAAACAUCAAACAAGGGAAACAUAGAUCCCUUCCUAUGUUAAAAAACGCCAAUGUACAUAGAUCACCUUCCUAUGUCAAAAAACGCCAAUGUCUGCAUCCUGCUAAUUCGAAAGUGUAACCACUUAAAUGUACGAAUCCUCUGGUCCAAAAUAAAUAUCUUUCUAGCCAAAUCAGUUUGGUCAAUUUAAGUGUCGCUCUAGAAAACCAAGGCAUUUUUUCCCCAAAUCCACCCUAGCUCCAAUAAAUGAUCUAAAAAAGUCUGAGUAGAGAUAAAAGGUAAUUCGAGGAGAAAUUACCCUUUGUGAUUAGUGCUCAUAAUGAUUUUCUUAAUGGGUAUAUCAAAGUAUUAAACGACAAUUAUUUUAGACUGCGGAGAGUAACAAACGCAGAAAGCAAUGCAAUUACAUGCAUCCAUAAUAUGUGGUUAGGCUAAGAUCUUCUGUAGCAAUAAAGAUGCUCUUUUCGAGAUCAAGCACCCCCAAAAAGAGAAAUCUUCUCAAACUGAGCAGGAAAAAGCUGAAGUUAAUGAAAAAAACAAAACCAACUUGCUACAUUAAGUUACCUGUUUUUAUGGUGUCAACAUUGUAUUAGCUCCAAUAGCACAAGGUGAAGCUGCAGAAACUGGCGUGCAACAUCUGGAAGAAUCCCAUUCCAUGUCAAAGGCAUAUUCCAGUCGUCUUCCAAGAGAUUUUCCUGAAACAGAUCUUUUACAUCCAGAAAUCCUGUCCUUCAGGUUUGAGGUGUCUUCCCUGUCGGGAACACUCCGGAGAAAAUGCAUGGGUGUGGUGGUGCCUGUGCAACUAUAAUGCCCAGAAGCUUCUGAAAAUCUCGAAGUCUUCUUUCUUAUGAUUGAAGGAGUUUUUGUGUAGCUCAUUGCAGAAUUCCUUAAAACAGAUUCUGGACUGCUACUAUUAGCAGAGACUGUUAAACUAAGAGGUGUAGAGCAAAGUAGAUGGCUAUUUUGUCGCCCGAUAAUGUUGUCUCUACUAAGGUUUUCAUCCGUUAAUGGAAUCGUCAAGUCCUUUACUUUUGGUGGUUCAUAAUUCAAGAAGCCGGGCUGCUUGUGAGCCAAAGAAGAUUGUGUAUCGUAUGCUUUAUUCUUCUUGUAACCCCGGGAAUGAAUCUUUGUGAAGCCGGGCUGCUUGAGAACCAAAGAAGAUUGGGUAUCAUAUGCUUUAUUCUUCUUGUUACCUUUGGAAUGAACCUCGGUGAAGCCGAGCUGCUUGAGAGCCAAAGAAGAUUGUAUAUCAUAUGCUUUAUUCUUCUUGUUACCUUGGGAAUGAACCUCGGUGAAUCCAGCCAAUGACAAAGUCAAAAAAUCAUGGUCAGUGUCACUAACAGUGCCGUACUUAGAACUUUUGGGAGAUUCAUACAUUCUCCCAAAAGUAGUAGGGUGAACAGCCUUAACUUGAGAACUACUCCAUCUGGUCUUGCGUGACGGAUCCAAAGGAAAAUCUAAAGAGGUCAAGAGAGGAUCUGAUAUUUUAGUAAGAUUUAAAUUGGAUUGGUCGGUCUCACCAUUUGGAAGAAUUUCUGCCUUGCCAAACUGUAUUCCACCAGGUGGCUUUAUCAGAUCCCUUGCAUUCUUUUCUGAUGAUUUACAGGCUCCAAAUAAAGAAGUACCCUUGUGCAAAUCAUUUCGAGGAGAACAAGCACACCCAAUUCUUAGAUUAGUUGAGCAAGCAUCAGCAGCAUUAUCUACUCCUGUCUGCUUGCUCAAAGAAAGUGUUUCUGCAUUAUGAGCCUGUGCUAAAUGCUUCUUGAUCUCUAGUUUUUUCUUGUGACUUGAGAAAUCUGGAGAUCCCUCACUUUGGAUAUCCGGCCCUGACCUACUUAGUAAAUUCAAGUCCAAUCUUUUCUUCACUGUAGAAUUCCAAUGAUUUUUAACUGCAUUAUCAGUCCUAAUAGAGCACCAAAAGGAAAAAUAGAUCAAAAAGAGAACUAAUCAAAGAUAUGUGUGCAUAUAUGAUACUUUAGUGAAAAAUCAUUCAAACAGAAUGCAUCAAGAAUAGGCAAAAAAAUCAUUUUAGAGUAAUGAUGACAAAUUAAGAACUUGGCUUGUUAGAGACAAAUGGACACGUGUACCUACAGCUAUUAGCGCAAAAGGAACAUCAAUCCUCUGGAUUGAGUCCUUACAAGUACAGUUACAAAACCUAGAAUAUCCAGACUACUCAGGAAAUUAGCCAUCAGAUUAUUAGGACUCAUCCCAAUCCUUGUUUCCCUACGUUGGGCCCCUAUAUUAAAUUGCUCAUAUUAAAUUGCUCACGCUCCAGAUGUCCAGCCCUGGGCAUGAGGUUGGGUGUUCAAGAGCCCCACAUCGGAUGAAAAAAAGAUGGACAAUUUCCUUCGCCGCCUUCAUAAAAAUUAUCUGCUCAUCUCAAACAAGCUCGAGUAGUAUCCAGGAUUUUGAUACACUGCAAGCACUAUACAAGGCACCCUAAAAAUCAAAAGGUUUGUGUUUGAUUGGCAUGCGAGUUAUAUCACACUUUUACUAAUGCUGACUUUUCAGCAUCAUGCACUAUAAAUGCUCUACCAUUGGUAUGAGAAGGUGAUAGAUUUUGCAAUUUACUUGGAUCUACAUUUUGGGGAUGCACAAGAAUCUCUAGAUCAGACACUGAUAUACAUAAUACAAGAAAUAGAUUUUCUUGAAUACCUUCCAGGCAGAAACCUUGCAAUUUCAGCCCACUUGUUCCCGUAUAUUUGGUGAUAGCGGCAUAGGACCGAAUCUUCCAGUUCAGUCCAGGCAUCUCUUUUUAUUGUUGGGUCAAGAUGGUUGUGCCACCUGUGACAUUCAUGGAUGAUCUCACAACAUUAGUGUACAUAGCAGAGUGCAACAAGUAUAAUAACUUGCAAUAAUCAACCAAUGUCAUUUUCUUUUUUCAAUUGGCACAGAACAUGGAGAUUCAGAGCUCCCUUAAGUCGUUAACUGCAAAAUUCAAUAUAGAAUUCACUAGUAAAUUGUGGUAAUCAAAUAUUUAGCUGCUCUCAGUUGUCAUGCUUUUUCUUAUUCACUUAUAACAACAACAACAAACCCAGUAUAUUCCCAUCUAGUGGGGUCUGGGGAGGGUAGAAUGUACGCAUCCAUACCACUACCUCUAAAGAAGUAGAGAGGCUGUUUCCGAUAGACCCCCGGCUCAAGACAUAGGACAAUAUACAAAAAUAUUCAAAGCAUGAAAUAUGAUAAAACUAACAUAGAUACAACAUCCACAAAAGUAAUGUACAAGACCAAACAAAAGACACCAAAACCUUCCUAACUACGGACUACGAUUCAUCCACCCACCUUAUCCCACUAUCCUAGUGUUUUUCCUCCAAACCUUCCUAUCCAGGGUCAUGUCCUCAAUGAGACGUAACUGCUCCAUGUCACGUCUAAUCACUUCUCUCCAGUAUUUCUUCGGUCUACCCCUACCCCGCUUGAAACCAUCUAACGCUAGUCUCUCACACCUACGAACUGCGGCAUCCGUGCCCCUCCUCAUCACAUGACCAAACUAUCUCAACCUCACUUCCCGCAUUUCUUCCUCCACCGAUACCACUCCCACAUUCUCCCAAAUAAUCUCAUUUCUAACCCUGUCAGCCCUUGUAAGACCACACAUCCAACGCAACAUCCUCAUUUCCGCCACCUUCAACUUUUGGAUAUGGGAAGUCUUAAUUGGCCAACACUUCGCUCCGUACAACAUAGCCGGCCGGACUGCAACUCUAUAGAAUUGCCUUUAAGCUUAGGAGGCACCUUCUUAUCGCAUAAAAUCCCCGAAGCGAGCCUCCAUUUCAUCCAACCUGUCCCAAUACGGUGCGAGAAAUACUCAUCUAUCUCUCUAUUUCCCUGGAUCGUAGACCCAAGAUACUUAAAACUAUCCCUCUUGCAAACUGUCUGAGAGUCCAACUUCACCACCACCUCCUCCUCUUGCCUCGAGUCACUAAACCUGCACUCCAAAUACUCUGCCUUGGUCCUACUCAAUCUGAAACCUUUAGACUCCAGAGUUUGUCUCCAAACCUCCAGCUUAUCAUUAACACCUUGCCACGACUCAUCAAUCAAAUCUACAUCAUCUACAAAAAAGCAUACACCAAGGCACCUCGCCUUGUAAACUCCGUGUCAGCACAUCCAUCACCACGACAAAUAAGAACAGACUAAGAGUUGAUCCCUGAUGCAACCCUGUCAAGACCGGAAAGUGCUUAGAAUCUCCUCCCACCAUCCUUACUCGAGUCUUCGCCCCCUUAUACAUAUCCUUAAUCGCUUUGAUGUACACCACAGGAACCCCCUUACCUCCAAGCAUCUCCAAAGAACCUCCCUAGGGACCUUGUCAUACGCCUUUUCCAAGUCAAUAAAUACCAUGUGAAGAUCUCUCUUUCUCUCUCUAUACUGCUCUACCAGUCUCCGCACAAGGUGAAUUGCCUCAGUCGUCGAGCGACCAGGCAUAAAUCCAAAUUGAUUCUCCGAAAUAGACACAAUAUUUCUCAACCUCCGCUCCACCACACUCUCCCAAAUCUUCAUCGUGUGACUCAACAACUUAAUACCCUGGUAGUUGUUGCAUCUCUGAAUGUCACCCUUGUUCUUAUAUAGAGGAAUCAUCGUGCUCCAUCUCCAUGCCUCAGGCAUCUUCGCGGACUUGAAAAUGUUGUUAAACAGGUUGGUCAGCCACCUUAACACAGCCACGCUAGAAAACUUUCAAAAAUCCACCGGAAUCUCGUCGGGCCCCGUCGCCCUGCCCCUUCACAUCUUGCGAAUAGCCUCACUGACCUCCUCUACUUUAAAACGCCGACAAUAGCCGAAAUCGCGACACUCCCCGGUAUGCUCCAACUCCCCUAGCACAACACCUCUGUCCCCCUCGUCAUUCAAGAGCUUAUAAACAAUACAAAACAUAGGUUGUCUGAAUCCUUAUAAAGAAGGGUUGUGCCUCAAAUUAUAGAUCAUGGAUUUUUCAUAUAGCCAACCCCUACUGCUUUGGAAUUUAAGCAUACUUGAUUGACUGAUAGCUUUCAAAAAGAUCCACACAACAUGAAACAAUAGAUAAUAGGAAAUACAAUGCUCCUAUAAACAAGCAUGACCUACAUAGGACAGAAAAUCCAGUAGGACUAAGUGAAAAUACGGCAAAGAUAAGAUACCUGCAUAACACUAGAAAAUGAGAAAAAAUGGGUUCUCCAGGCAAGGAAAAACUCUGUAAGCAGACUAACUAUACAGAUGUUCCAGGAAGCAUUUAAAGAGUGGGUUUAUGAGCAUGUAAAUUGCUCUUGCAUAGCAACAGAUUUAAGCAGAGUUGGAAACUGACCUUUCCCGGCAUUGCUUGCCAAUGCGACCAGGCAAAGACUUGGCAAUAAUGGACCACUUCUUACAGCCAAAUUUCUCAACUAACUCAAUAAUCUGGUCGUCCUCCUGAAAUUCCAAAAGGAACAAACCAGUUGUUUUUAAUAAUCGAAGUCUUGAUAUAUGAGUUAUGGCAAACCAAUGGUUGUAAACUGUUUGGAACCUCCUUUGUCCAAGGACCCUUUACAAGCUCAGGAUUCAGAACCUUCUGCCAGCGAUGCAAGCACUGCACAUCAGUCCUUCCAUUCAAGCACUCAGCUAUAGAACAAAAGAGAACACAAUACAAUCAUACAAAACAUUCAGCAGACAAAUCUUACUAUACAACGAUAUAAGUUACUUCAUGAAAUAGCCAGGUAUUCAAAAGAUGGAAAACAUUUUAUUGUACUGAAAAGAUUAAUAAAAGAGGUAGAUCUUAGAGGCUUCCUAAAAAUUUUCGCCUUCUGAGUAAUGGCAGAUAAUGAACUGGUUUCAUGUAUGUAACUUUCAUACUGCUGAUAGUUUGUUUAUCAAUUUCAAACCAGUGGCGACAUGUCAGGUUAUUACUUUCAAGGUAAAAGGAGACAACUUAAGAGGCAGCAAAUGCUGCAAAAGGAAGUGCUAGUGUUGUAAGGUACUAAAAACCAUUUCAUAAAGCGGCUUGGGCAAAAGUAAAGGUCAUUGUGGUUAAACUAGCUGAAAAGUAACCAUUCAAGGAAAAACAAAAAUAUAGCUGAAAAGUAUAGAGCAGGAGAGAAAAAAUGGUUUAUUACCAAUUCCUUUCCAGUUUCUUCCUUUGAACCUUUUCACCACUUCAGUCAACAGAUUGUCCUGUGAAAGGACUAAAGAAGUCAGGAUUUUCUAGAUCAAAAGAAAUGAGCCUAUGCAAAUAGUAAAAUGAGCAAAUGAAACUGGAGCUUUUGUUUUUUUUUUUUGUGAUAACCAAAGUGAAACUGGAAUUGUGACUAACAUUUUUAUCUUUAUCCUUUCUUUAUACAUCCUAAACAUCCACAUGCACUAGAAACGAAAAGGAUCCAUAAGUAUCAUCCUAAGCAUGACAACUCAUAUGGAUACAUCCACAUGCACCAGAAACCAAAAAGGAAAAAGAACAUGACAACUCAUAUAAAUAAUUCUAUAAGAACCUAUCUAUCAAGGAGAACUCUCAUCACGAGGUGAGUCACAUUUAUAUGUAUUUUUAGGCCUUUUCUCAUGUUUGGAUUAUUGAGUUUUAAGUAUUAUAUGGAGUAAUUCCUCACGUAUUUGUGUUGUUCUGAUGAUAGAUAUGAACUGAGGGAGAUAAGGAGGAAGAAAAGGAAAUAGACCAGAUUCAAGCGAAAGAGAUGCAAAAGAACGAAGAAAAAUUGGGCAUAAAACAGCUCCGACCUCCGCAACAGUCAAGUUUUGGUCGCUGAGAUGCUCCUUCAAAAUUUGUUAACUAACCCCAACCGUCGCAGUGGAUUAGUUUUGGUAGCAGCGACGCUCACAGCCUUGAAUACAAAUUUUCAGCUCUUUUAUUUUAGGGUUGCACUAGGGGAUAUAUAAAGGAACUUUUUUUGGCGAAAUAUUAAGGGGGAAGGUGGCACAUUUUAGAUAGACGCAACUUUGGGAGAAAGAAGAGAGCAAAGAAGAGAACUCAAGAUUUUUGAGGAAGAUUCAAGAAAUUUAAAAUUUCUUCUAAAUCUAUUUGGUAGAAUAUAACGACCUGAUCUCUUUGCUUUCGAUGGCUGCUGAAACAUGGUGAAAAUGUGAAUAACAUGAUGACUCAAACUUUCUAUGAUUGUUGUUUUAAGCCCAUUUAUGGAGUAACUUUCUCGUAAUUGAGUUUUGAUGAAACCUCUGGUUUGAUUUAUCUUUCAUCUCAUGUGUUUGUUUGAUUUCUUGAGGAUCUAAUUGAUUUAUUAAUUACAAGAGAUGUAUCAAUUUUUCCACUGAUUUGAUUAGGUGUAUGAUAUUCUUUUGUUGAAUAUUGAUUCUAUUAUGAGAGGGAUCAGUAAUUUAACUUAGAAUUGCCACAUAGAUAUUCGAGAGAAGCCUAUAUGUUUCUACUUACAGGAAACAUUCAACACUACUUUUGUAUCUUUAUAUAUCUUUUCUUUCAAUCAAUGGUAUAACCGAAAGGAGUAAAAUUAUUAGAAAGGAUUAGAGGGACUGGAUGUAUUUGUGAGAAAUGCUCAUACUUUAAUGAGGGUAGAUGAAAGGUACUGAGAAUCACAUAUUCCAUAGAUGGAUUCUUGACUCAUCAUUUAUCUCCCUAAAAUAUAAAACAUUUGUUCUAAUUGUGUUGGUUAUUUGUUUUUCUAGUCAUUAUUUAGUUUAAAAGUUAUAUUUCCAAAAAAUUAUCGGAUUUCUCAACUAGUAAUCAAGAUGUACUAAUCAUCAUAUUAGAAACCUAAUCCUUGUGGGAUCGACAUUAUCUAUACUAUCUUCGACAAGAACGGGCUUUAGUUUUUAUACACCAGUUUUGCCUCAUUGCAAUGUUACACAAAUCACCAUAUACGUACACAGAAAGCUUCAACAGAGAAUAAUGCACUUGAAAUUCAACCACAUUAUAUGUACAACAAGAACUUCAACAACUAGCUUAUUACCUCUUCUGCUGUCCAGCCUGCCUGAGAAGAACGUUUAGUUUGACCUGAGCUCCUUUGACAACUGGAACUGAAAUAGGAUUAAACAAUUGAAGUUAAAUUUAUAACUGCAUCAAUGAACCAUCUUUUUCAAAGACCUUAUUUGAGUCCCAAUUUUAUGCCACUGAAAUAAAUUAAAGUUUUCAGCUUACCCAGGCUCAGAGGAGCAUCUCGGAGUGCUAGCCUCAUAACUGCUAUCAGAAAAAGAUGAGCAAGAAGUGAAUCCACCAAAUUCCAGAGUCAAAGCUUCCUCUUUAACUUGUAUCAUGAUCUUGCAGCCAAAGAAUAUGUCAAAAUGCAAAGCAAUUACGACAAAGAAGUAAGAACAAAUUCUCAAACGCACAAGCUGGUUAAUGAAAAAAGAGAAUAGUUAUAGAACUCAGAAACCAUAUGCAGCUUUAUUUACGCAUGUAGACAUGCUGGGCCCAACAAUCAGUAUAUGUUAGACUGUCUUUAUACUAGCCGUCAACUUUUAUCUAGACUUGGAAGCAGCAAAAGCUAUCAGUUACACCUAAAAAGUAAAAGGAACUUCUUUUUUCAAACGGAUCAUAAGAACAUUUAUAUAAGAAAACAACAAAAUUCUUAAUCCUAAAUGUUCACGGCAUCCAAACAAACUGCGGAAAGAACUUGUAAGAAUCCAGUAAUACGAUCAAACAUCUCACAGUGAAGCGAGAGAAGCACAAUACACGUAAACUAGUAAGGAUCUGUUAUCACGAUCAUUUGUAUCCACUCAAGCUCACUAAUUCCAAUACAAAUAACUUUGUUUAUAUCAUUGUUUGCAGCGGCCAAACGAAUUUACUUUGUAUAUUUCAGUUUCAUGGAUAUCACUAAAGGACUUCCUCAAGAACUUAUAAAACACACUAAAAUCCAACUUUCAACACAAAGAUCAAAGCUUUGCACUAGCAUUUUGUCAGCAAUCGAACAUGAUUAGAUUUUCAAAAUAAAGAGAAUCAUCACCUUAAUAAACAACACAAACAGGCCAAAAAAAAAAGCUUGAAGACAUGCAUUAAUGAACAAGAUGCGGCGAAAAAUGCAGAAAAACACUAAAAUUGCUUCAGAAUUGUCGAAUAAACACUUGGAUUAAAAAAUAAUCCUUUCUUCCUUUAAAUUUCUAACAAAAAAAUAAAAAAUUCAACACAAAGAUCAAAACUUUUCACUAGCAUUUAAUCAGAAAUUGACCACGAUCAGAAUUACAGAACAUACAGAAUCACCACCUGAAUAUAACACCCCCCAAAAAAAAUCACUGUUUUCAACUUUUAACAAAAAAUAAUUCAAAAUUCACAAAACUUUGCACAAGCAUUUUGUCAGCAAUCACACAAGAUCAAAAUUACACAACAAACAGAAUAAUCACCUGAACAAACCACCCAAAAAGAACCCGUUUUCUUCAACUUCUAAGCCAAAAAACGAACUAAAUUCAACACAAAGUCCAAAAAUUUGCACUAGAAUUUCAUCAGCAAUCGAACACAAUCAAAACUUCACCACGACAAACAGAAGCAUCACCUGUAAAAAAACACCCAAAACUCCCUUCUUCUUUCUUUUUUUUUUACCAAUUUUUAAUAAAAAUAAAUCAAAAUUGAACACAAAUAUCAAAAUUUUACACUAGCAUUCAAAAUUACACAACAUACAGAAUCAUCACCUGAAUAAACAAAUCCAAAAUAAAACAAAAUUGAACAACUCAACACAAAAAAAUCAAAACUUUACACUAGCAUCCUGUCAACAAUCAAUCAAACACGAUCAAAAUUACACAACAUACAGAAUCACCACCUGAAUUAACAACAAUAAUUUUUUAACCAAAAAAAAAAAAAACAGCUGGAAAACAUACAAUGAUAAGCAAGAUGCGAUGAAAAAACGCUCGAAUUACUUGGAAAUCGCGAAGUAAACAAAAGUAAAAAUACAGAAAAAAAUGUAGAGAGAGAAGUAAAAGAACUGAAUGUAAGUUGUAACUGACCGUUUUGCAGUAAAGUAGGGUUUAUUAAGUAUUUUUUUUUAGAGAGAAGUAGCGGGAAACUGAAGAAGAUUCUGAAAAGUACAAAUAAUAAUGUUGUAGUACUACUAAUAUAACUGGGUUUUGAAUAUCAUAAAAAGUGUGUUUGAGAAGAAAGAUUACAAAUAAUCUAGUAGGAGUAUAUAAAUAACAUUAAAUCAGAUAAUAAUAUAUAGUAAUAAAAUAAUCUUACAUUUUAAUUUUAUACGCAGAUUAUCGUAUAACUGGCGAAUUUAUUGGGUUUUGAAUAGAGUAAGUGUGCUUAAGAAGGAAGAGACUGACUAGUGAACUACUGGGGGUUGUUUAUAUAUUCGUUUUUUGACCCUUUUAACGGCUGGAUUUUGACGCCAAGCUAUCUCACGCCGUUUAUAUAUAAAAAAAAUUAAAUCAUUAGAGUAAUAAAUAAAGUAAUAUUCUUUUUAACGCUACAAUACUAGCAUCGUUAAUGUUAUUGGUUUAUUAAGUUUGAAUCUCCCAUUAUUUAAAUCAGUUAACAAAAACAAUACGUCUUCUUCAAAAUUCUUACAAUUACUAUUUCAUCAGUAUUCUUUUACCAAAGAUGUCAAUAGAGGUUGGCUCAACCCAUCUAAAUUAGUUCACACAGUUGGACUGACUUAUCAAAAAACAUUAAACUCACAUCAUUACUCUGUGGGUUAUGGACCUCACAGGCUAGCCCUCUUUUCUAAAAAAUAAUAUUUUUUAAUUUAAUUUUAGAAUGUUAAUAAACAUAAAUAUUAUCAGACAAUAUUACAUAGCGUUAAUACUUAUUAAUGAAGUCUCCAGCACCUCAAAACAUACUUUUAAUAGCAAAAUUAAAUAACUUUUGACAUGAUAUCCUUCAAACCAAAUAAAAAUACUAAUAAGCCAUUUAAAGAGUUGCAUGUAUUUGACUUAUGAACCGGCCCACGGGUUAGCCCAACCCACAUUGCUCAAGCCCCACGAGCCAUAGGUUUAUCCGGCGGAGCUAAAAAGUCCCGUUCUUAAAUGGGCUACAAAAACUGAAGCUCAACUCCAUCAAAUUACAGGCCGGAUCUGACCGGCCCAACGAGCCUAACUCAUAUUGACGGCUCUAUAAUUUACGUGGCAUCGAUUGAUUUAAUAUGAAGUUUAAGUAAAAAGAUAUUUUUUAAAAUUUGUGAUCUAAAAUAAUUUUUAGAUAUUUAUGAGGCUAUAAAUUAUUUUAUUAAUAAUAAAAAAUAAUUUUAAAUUAAAAUUAUUUCUAAUUAUAAGGUGACAUUUCUUUGUAAGCUGACAAAAAAUAAAAAAAAGUGUUACAUAAAUGGAAAAAGAAGUUGACGAGAGUGGCAUAGGAACAACUCAUUAGAUAUUGUUUUAUUUCAAAAGUUUAGCAGACAAAAAUUAAUAACUGACCGAUAAUAGAUAUAUAAAACUGUUAUAAAUGUAUUUACAUUAUAGUGAAUGUCUAUUAAGAUCUAUUUUGAUAUCUAUUAGGAUUUGAAGCAUCUGUUUUUUACUCAGACUACGAGUAAAUCCCCCUUAUAAAUAGAGGAGUUUUGUUCAUUGUAUUGACAAUCUUAAUCUCUCAUCCCUCAAAGAAAUAAGAAUGACUCUCUCUAUUCUCUCUACUCUUCUUCUUUAUUCUUUCUUAUUUUAUAUCAUUCUUUAUUCUUUCUUGUUUUAUAUCAUGUUAUCAGCACGAGACUCUGUCAAACAAGGUGAUUAGUAAUAUGUUGGGGUGCAAGUCCCAUCGAUUCAUGCCUAAGACGCUUUUAUAUGGAUCAAAUAUUGAGUUUGAAUCUAAAUACACCAUAUUGAUGAUAUUGUGAUGGCUAAGAAAAAAUAAUGGAUGUUUGUGAAAAGUCAUAAAAUUCGACCCAUUGAAUAUGCUUCAUUUCCUGAAGUGAAUGUGGUAGCAAUAUAUGAUAAGUCUAAAAUAUAACAACUUACUUCAUUCUUGAGGUGUAUGUGGUAGCAGUGCAUAAUAUGUUUGAAAGAAGACAAGUGAUUGAAUGCACGAAUAUACGCGUGGAGGGACAAUAUGAUAAUAAUCAUCAAAAGUGAUGAUAUUUUCACACGCUUAUAUGAUUAUAAGAUAUGCUAGAGAAAAAAAAAUUCUACAUCAUAUGUAUGUCUCGAUUUGCUUUUGAAGUAGCAAAAUCUUGAAAGAGGUUAUAAGCUAUCAUAAUUUGAUAGGCUUAAGGCACAAUUAUAUUCCAUUCCUGGGGAAUGAGAAACUUAUUAAUGCAAACGUGCACUUGAUUGUGAUUGUAUCACAACUCACCUGAGUUUACUAGAAUAAAAGUUCAUAAAUUAAUAUGAACGAUUGUGACAUCUCGAAGAUGUGCAUAUAUUGAAGAACUAGAAGAUUCUUCAAGAAUUGUUUAUGUCGUUUGUUCUCAUGAUAAGUUGGUUGGACCAACUAAUAUUGGGAUUGGAUCCCUUCAAAUCUAAAAAUUAUUAAAGGUGAAUAAAGGACCGUUUAUCUAUCAUGUGAUAUGUUAAAAUGAUGCAUCAAUAAGAUGAUCACAUGUACAUUUAUUGUCAACCUGCAGUUUGACAUUCAUAAAGUUUCUUGCUCAAUAAAAUCGAGUUAAGCAUGACUUUGAGAUUGUGUAAUCAAGGUAAUUCAUCUUGAUGAUGAUGGUUUAGUUUUGAAUGCCUUCGAUAAAUAUCUAAACCAUUGUUAAUGAGAACAAAACUUCAUGUAUUGGUCUGAAAUAUGAUAUAUUGCAAUAGCACUUGUAUGCAUUAAACCAAUAAAUUAUGAUUAUUUCUUUCCUCUCAAUUGAUUCAAGGUUGGGAACCAAUUAUUCCAUCUAAUAAUUUUGAUGUGCGGUAUAUGAUUAAUGAAUAUAUCAUAAUGUACAAAAAUGGAUUCCUCAAAGAAGUAAGGGAUGUAUGUUAGUUUUCCUAACAUAAGGGGGAGAUUAUAAGCGCUAUGAAAUGUAUUAGGAAUUAUUACCAAAUCCUCAUCCAAAAGAUAAUUCAAGUCAAAUGCGGAAAACAUCUCAUAUUAAGCGCAAGUGCUCUUAUUUUGUGUUCCUAAAGAACAAAAUCUACGCAUGCAUGAAGCGUGGUAGAUUAAUCGGUUCCAAAUAAAGUAAUUCUUGAAAAGGAUAAGGAGCAAAUAAUCAUAAUAAGAAGGCAAUGAGAUCUUGAAGAUCCUACGACAUACCACUUCAUGAAACCUUAUUAGAGGUUCAUGUACCUGAAAAUAAUGAAGUGAUGGGAUCUCAAAAUGUUAUGUCCCAUUGUGAACUAAUACUAAAUAACAUAUCAUCAAUAUCUUUGACACAAUAUUGGCGCAAUAUUGUGAAAGAUUACGAGGAUCUUAAUUCUGCGUUAAUUUAAGCAUGCUGACAUAGAAACAUUUAUCAAGUGACAUGAAAGGAUGCAUCUUGGUAAGUAUUAAACUUAUUUGAUUUGCCGUCCAGAUAUUUGAAGAUGUCACUCUUAAAAUAUUGAAUAUUGUCACUUGACAAACUUAUGUGAAAAACUUUUAAGGAUUCAAAAUGCUUGAAGCAUAUAAAAGUUUCUGGGAAACUUAUUUAUAAUCCUUAUAUUGUAUUAGCUUAUAGCUUGAAAAUUAUUGAAACUCUUGGAGAGUUUUCAAAAGCAACAAGAUUAUUUGCUGAAAUAGGAAAUAUACCAAUUUGGAUUGGUUAUGAAGUAUCAUAUCUCAGUACAAUUGGUGCACUCAUGUAUCUUGUAAAAAACUACAAAACCCUUAAAAUAUUGAAUAUUGUCACUUGACAAACUUAUGUGAAAAACUUUUAAGGAUUCAAAAUGCUUGAAGCAUAUAAAAGUUUCUGGGAAACUUAUUUAUAAUCCUUAUAUUGUAUUAGCUUAUAGCUUGAAAAUUAUUGAAACUCUUGGAGAGUUUUCAAAAGCAACAAGAUUAUUUGCUGAAAUAGGAAAUAUACCAAUUUGGAUUGGUUAUGAAGUAUCAUAUCUCAGUACAAUUGGUGCACUCAUGUAUCUUGUAAAAAACUACAAAACCCAAUAUAGCCUUUCGCUCAAUUUGUUAGCAAUGUAUAUUUCUACUCCUACUAGGAGACAUCGAAAUGGGAUAAGAUACACGAGUUUAUUUUAUUCUAAAGAUUGCAGUCCCGAUCUUACUGGUCAUGCUGAUGUUGGGUACUCAUCUAACCCGCAUAAAUCUCAGUCUCAAACAUACAAUGUGUUCACAUAUGGGGAUACUGUCAUAUCUUGGAGAUAUUCAAAGCAGUCUAUCGUAGCCACUUCAUCGAAUCAUGUUGAGAUAAUAGCCAUUCAUGAAGCAAGCCGAGAAUGCGUAUAUGGUUGAGGUCCAUGAUACAUCUCAUUCGAGAAAAAUAUGGUGUGAAAUAUGACAAUCUACCUACAAUUUUAUACAAAGAUAAUUCAGCAUACAAAGUACAUCUUAAGGGAGGAUUCAUAAAUAGAGAUAGAACGAAGCACAUUUGCCAAAGUUUUUGUACAUACAUGAGCUACAAAAGAAUGAUGAUAUUAACGUGCAACAGAUUCGUUCAACUAACAAUGUGACUGAUUUAUUCACCAAGUGUUCUCCAAUUACAACUUUUAAGAAGAUGGUACACAAGAUCGGGAUGCAAAUGUUCAAGGAUGUUCUCAUUAGGGGGAGUCAAUACGCGUUGUACUCUUUUUUUCUUACGAGGUUUUGUCCCACUGGAUUUUCCUUGUAAGUUUUUUAAUGAGGCAGCCGAAAUGCGUAUUAUUAGAGAUGUAUACUCUUUUUCCUUCACUAGAUUUUUUUUCUACUGAAUUUUUUUCUAGUAAGGUUUUAACAGGGCACAUUAUCUACCAAUUAGACAUUUGAGGGGUAGUGUUAUAAAUGUAUUUACAUUAUAGUGAAUGUCUCUCAAGACAUCCGUUUUUUACUCAGAUUAGGAGUAAAUUUUCCUUAUAAAUAGAAGGGUUUUGUUCAUUGUAUUGACAAUCAUAUGAUCUCUCAUCCAUCAAGAAAGAAGAAAUAAGAAUUACUCUCUCCAUUCUCUCUACUCUUCUUCUUUAGUCUUUUUUGUUUUAUAACAAAAACGUUAUUAUCAGUAAUAUAUUUGAAAAUUGAACAUUACCCAUGAUAACGAUUCUAUAGAAUCCAAUCAUAUGAUUUAAAAUCCUUCUUAAUUAACUAUUGUAAAAUUUCAAACCAUCAUUAUUUAUAUUUUAAGUCAAUAUAUAAUUGUCAUAACGUAUUUACUGAAUUUUAUAAAGUCGUUAUGUUUGUAACGUUUUAUCAUUGAAUCAAAACUCAGAGUUACUAUAAUAUUCGUUUGCUCUGCUAGCCAUUAGUUUUAGCCUGUUGAAUUUUUUGAAUAAAAUAAUGCCUAAUACGCCUAUCAGCCAAGUUGUCGCUAUACGCUCGGUUCGGGCAAUCAACAAUCAUCACUCGACAGCUCAAAGCUAACCAGUAAAACCUGCGUGCUUGACUACUCAUUUUUUACAAGACUAUUUGUACCCAGGUAUAUGAUGAAAGUCCCUUCGACCAAUCAUCACUCGACAGUUCAAAGCUGGUCGGUACAAUCCACAUGCUUACCUAUUCAUCGUUCACAUGCCUAUUUGUACCUUGUCUGUUAAUUUUCCAACCUCAGAGGAAUUUAUUCGACCCAUUCUCCAAUCUCCCGCACUGCUCAAGUAAGUGUGAGACCUACAUCAAAAAUUCUAACUUUAUAGGGAAGAUUGUCAGCUAACACAACCAACUUAAAAUAAAUUUAUUCUGGUACUCAAAAUUUUUAAGAAAACAUAAUGUUUUUGUUAAACAAUUAAAUUAAAAGGUUAUAACUUUGGGUCGAACAUACGUUAACAUCUACCAUCAAAAGUUGUAGUUGAGUAACAACUGACAAAUCUCUUCAAUUUCUAAUCAAACAUCUCGAAAUUCAAAAUAUCAAGAUGAAAAAAUAAAAAGAGUACGUUAAAAUUUGUCAUUAUUCAUCGAGAUUGAAAGUUGAUUCUUAGCCACGUGUGAACUUAUUAUGUUACUCCAUCCACUUAAAUUUUUUAUGGAGACUUUUUUGUACGUGAGAUUUUAAGAAAUAUUUUUUUUCCAUCUUAGACACGUAAUGUCAAUGAUAAAACAUGAUAUUAAAGGUAAAAAUUUAAAAUGAAAUUAAUGACAACGAUAAAACAUGAUAUUUAAGGAAGAAUUUUGAAAUUAAAGUAUUUUUAUAUAGAUAGAAAUAGAAAUAUGCUUUUUUAGAAGAUAAAUGGAUUAAAAACUAGUAUUAUAUAAAUUGAAAUGUUUUUAAUAUAAUUUGUAUAUGUCGCUGUUGGGUAGAUAUCCCAAAGUUUUUUUUUCUGGUGGUGAUAUCCCAAAGUUAUCAUAGUCUAUCUACGAAUAAACCUCACUUUUUAAGAUAGGGUUAGUUUCAUUAUGGAUAAAUUAAAUUUAUUAAAUAUAAUUACUACGUGAACUAUGUUUUGUAAUGAAAAAAAUAAAUCAUUCAAUUAUCUGAACUGUCACGAUAAUUACUAAAUUAUUUUAUAAUAAAUAACCAGCCAACUUUAUUUAAAAUAUUGUUUAGAAAAAAUAGAGAGAUAUUUUUGUUUGAAUAAAAAGUGUUUGAGAUGGACUAGAGGAGAAGUGGAAGAAUAUUUUUAAUUUUGAUUUGCUUUAACUUUUUUUAACAAUUGAUUUUGACAACUACUUUUCUACUUUUUAUUUUUUUUGUCGUGAUAAAAAUUACGUUGCUUUUACGUUAUAUAUUAACUCGUAUACUGAUAUUAUUUGACACCAAGUGCAUUAGAAUGCAAAAUAUUGAAGAUUAUGGUAGAAUAGUCAAAUGAAUAGCCCACUAUUUAAUUAGAGAUUUUGAGUUUAAUUUUUGAAAUUAAAUAUAUAUUGAUAGAAAGUGUUUUUCUUUUUUCAUGAAUCUUAUAUAAUGUUAAACAAAAUUUCCAACACAAACACUGAAUAAAUUUAUACUCACUAAUGAAUCAAAAUUACAAUUAAGAAUUAAAUCAGUAAGGUAAUAGGGAAUACUAAUUAACGGAAUAACUUAGAAUAGCAUAGGAAUCACCUUUUUUUUUUUAUUAUUUUUUUCUUAUCAACCCUAUGAAUUUCAACACCUUGUACUAAAGUUAUUUUGUGUUUAUUUGGAGACAUUUUUCAGUUAAAUUUUUUCGUGUCAAAGAAUAAUGAAAAGAUAGUAAGGAUUAAAGUAGUCACCACCAAAGGAAAGGAUGUGGUGCUGCUCCUCCCUUAAUUAGAGGUCUCGGGUUCGAGUCCUAGUAUGAAAAAAUUCUUGUUAGGGAGCGCUCCCCCUCGAAUGGGCCCCCACGUGGCACGAAUCUGGAUUAGUCGGACUUCAAUGCAGGUAUCGGACAUCGGAUGGAAACCAAAAGAAAAAAAAGUAUUAAAGUAGUGGCUAAUAUUUUUGAAAAAAAUCAAGAAAUAGCAAUUAUAGAGCAUUAAUUGUAACUUUUAUAGCAACAAUUUCAUAAUUACGAAAAAUAGCAAAUUGUACCUUGUAUUUAAGUAAACUGUUGCUAUACAAAUACAUAUACAAUAAGAUUUACUGCCCUUGUUUUACUCAAAUUAGUUGAGUUAAAUAAAGAAUAAUUAUCCCUUCAAAUUAAAUUUCCAUAAAUUACUCUUAUUUAAAUUAGUAGAUUACUUUUUCAAAUCAAACUCAAAUAUGAAGAUUAUUAUUUUCAUAAUCUUCAAAAUUUCAAAGUAUCAUUCUCUUAAAUCUCUAACUAUUUUUUCUUGUCAGAUUUUUUUCAAUUUUUUAUUUUUUUCAUUUCUUUUUAUUUUUUAUUUUUUCUUUCCACUUUAUUUUCUCUUUUCUACUUUUUUUUUCUUUUUCGAUUUAUUUAUUUAUUUAUUUUCUUUUUUCGUUUUCUUUAUUUUCCUUUUCUCAUGUUUUUUUCGUUUUCUUCUUCUUCUUCUUCUUUUUUUUUUGCUUUUGCUUUUACACUUCUAUUUCUAGUCUAUAUUUCUCUUUCUUCUUCUUUUUUUCUUUUUCACUUUUUUUUUUUACUCUUUUAUCUCUAUCUUUUAUUUUGAAAGACAAAUAUAUAUAUAUAUCAUAUAUACAUAUUCAAAAAAUAUACAAAAUAAAUAGACAUACAGAUCUGCACAUGUAUUUACGAUAAAAACAUACAUAUAUAUCUGCAUAUGUAUUUACAAAAAUAUAUAUCUGACUCACAUGUAUAUAUAAACAUAUAUGACACAAAAUCUCUAUAACAAAAAUGACAAUUAUAUACAUAUACAUAUAGGCAAUAAAAAAAAUACAUGUUACAUAUCUUAAACAGUAAAAGAAAACAAAUAAGUACAUAUGUUACCCUCUAAAAUGACAUAGUAUGUACAAUUCAAACAUAAAGCCAACACCUUAUAAAAUAUAUAUAGCUAUGCAUAUGUAUUUACAGAAUACACACUUGAUCCAUAUGUAUAUUCUUAUUUUAUAUGAGUCACAUUUGUAUUUCGCAAAUACAUAUGAAAAUAUAUAGUAUAGUUAUGUUUGUUACUGUUUAAUAUGAAUAUGAUAAGUAUUUCAUAAACAUAUGUAUGUUUUGUACUGUAAAUACAUAUCCAGAUCCGCAUAGCUAUGUAUUUUGUAGAUUUUUUUAAUAUGUGUAUGUGAUAUACAUAAUUGUCUUUUCGAAAAAAGAAAAAAAAGUUAGAGAUAGAAGAGUAAAAAAAAUAAAUAAAUAAAAAUUAAAAAGAAAUUGAAAAAAGCAAAGUGAAAAAGAAAAUAGAAGGGAAAAAAGAGAAAUAGAAGUGUAAAAAAAAAAGAAACAAAAUAAAAUAGAUGUGAUAUACAUAAUUGUCUUUUAAAAAAAAGGUUAGAGAUAGAAGAAUAAAAAAAUAAAAAUAAAAAAAAUAAAAAAGAAAUUGAAAAAGCGAAGUGAAAAAGAAAAUAAACAGGAAGAAAGAGAAAUAGAAGUGUAAAAAAAAAAGAAAAAAAUAGAAAAAAGAAGAAGAAAAUGAAAAUAGAACAAGAAAAAAAAAGACAUGACAAAGGAAAAAAAAGAAAUAGAAGAGAGAAAAUAAAGUGGAAAAAAAAAAAGGAAAAGGAAAAGAAAUCAAAAUAAAAAAAUAAUAUUAAAAAAAAAACUAACAAGAAAAAAAAGGUAGAGAUAUUAGACAGUGAAAGAUAGUAAUGAUGUUUUAUUUUGAAAAUUUGAAGAUAAUGAAGAUAAUUAUCUUCAAAUAUGAAAAAGAAAAAACAUAAAAACAUAAAAAAACAAAAAAGGAAAAAAAAGAAAUAGAAGAGAGAAAAUAAUAAUAAAAAUAAAUAAAUAAAUAAAUAAUAAUAAUAAAAAAAAAAGAUGAGAAAAAGGAUAAAAGCUAUCGCUAUAUUUUGCGGGAGGGGAGGGGGGGAUAGUGGAGUGAAAAUAAAAAAAUGUAAAGUAGUGGAAGUAAAAUAUGCACUUGCCUAGUUAAUGAGUAAAAUAAUACUACUCUUGCUAUAAAUUGUAAUUUUACAAAAGUGUUGUUAUUUAUUGUAAUUAUAGUCUUACUUUUUGUAAAUUUUCUUUAUUUAAAUGUAUAAAUAACAUAAAUACCAAAUUACACUCUCUCCCACUUUUUUAAUUACUUUACUUUCUCUCCCUAUUAAUAUGCAUAACAUAGCCGACAUAUACAUAAUAUUCUGUGUAUAUAUUUGAAUUUUUGUAAUAUGUUUAAGAAGUUGAAUUUUUUUGUAAUAUUGCAAAUAUAAGUUAUAUAUUUGUGUAAUUUUUAGUAUUAAAUAGCAAGUGUUAAAUGGGCUUCCCAUGUCUGUCUGGUAUCUAUUCUUCAUCCUAAAGUCUGAAUUUGGAUUGGGCUAUUCUAUUUGCUGGUAAUGCCAACAGGAACCUAACUUUGUGUAUAGUAGUAAAAAUGAAAAGAGAUACUGUGUAGUAUUUUUUAAAAUAAAUAGUUUAAGUUUAAUAUUUUUUUUAAAAAUAGCCAGUUGAAUAUUUUGUUUUCACUUUAUAGCUAUUUUUUAAUUUGGGUUAUUUUGGCCCAUGUAGUUUAGAUACAGUCUAUAUACAAUGCUGAUACAGUUUAUAUACAAUACACAUACAAUUUUCAACUUGGGUCAUUCUGCCCUUUUUAAAAAUAUUUCAGUUUUUAUUUUGCAAUAAAUUUUUUAACUAAAAUAUAUUCUAUUUUUUUAUUAUUUAAAAAUAAUAAUUAAAUAUAAUUAUGUAAAAAUGGUAGAAUUAUUAUAUAGAGCAUGUAUCUAUAUAAGAUAUAUGUAUAGAAAUUGUAUACUUCUAUUUAAUAUGUAUAUGUAUAAAAUAUAUAUAAAAAAUAGGAAGAAUACUCACAAAAAUAUCUGAUGUUUGAUCAGAUUUUCAGUUGAGCAUACUGAACUUUGUGGGGGUCCUAUUACCCCCUAGACUUUUUUUUUGUAUUUUAAUGGCAUAGAUCAACCCAUUUUGACAAGGACAUGUAAUCACGCCUCUUGAGCACGUGAGAGUGAUUAAAAACGUUAAAAAUAUUUUUUGGGGGUCAAAUAACUCCUCAAUUUGCUGACUUUUAAAUAUUUUAUAUUUUUUAUUCAUUUUUCAUUCUUUCUCUUCUCUUUCUUUCUUCUUUCUUUCUUCUCUUCAAUUGAGUUAAAUUGAUGCGCCAUUGUUAAAUUAAAAAUAAUUUCAUCACACACACACACACACACCAAAUAAGUUAUCUUCAACACACUCAAUUCAAUUACAUCAAUUUUACCUAAUUUCAAUACACACACCAAAUGGGUAUUCUCCAAUUCCAUCAAAUUGGACUGGUUGUUAAUAUUGGCGAGGCACUUCAGGUUUGCCACGAGCUACAUUACCAAGCAGCACCUAACAUCAUCAAUAUGUUCCUUCAGACACUCUAUCAUUGUCUUUACAUUAAAGUUUGUUAUUGUCUGUACAAUAAUAUUUUACACAUGCAUACUAAUUAGCCAAGAGCAUCUUUGUUAUUCCUGUUUUUAUCAAGAACACACCCUUAUGUAUCUUUCGAUUUUGUUCUUUUUGUCCAUUCUCAUCUCAAUAUAAUCUAAUGUAGUAUCAUUAGGUCAUUUGGUAUGUGUGGUGAAAUUGGGACCCUCUGUUUGCGAUUUAAAUAAAAUUAUUAAAGAGAAUUUUUCGAUUUGAAUUUCAAAUUUGGGAAAAAAAAUUCUUAAUGAACUAAAUAAAAGUAAAAUUUCAAGAAUGAAGAAUUAAGAAUUUGGUGAAAAAAUGAUGAAAAUUUGUAUUGUAGUAUUACCAAUGUUGUUUGUAGGAGUAAUAUGGCUGUAAUAGUUGUAGACACGUGAUUUCGACCCUCCCGAGUUUAAUAUAUAUAUUUUUUUCGAUAUUAAAUAUUUAUAUUUGGUUUAAUAUUAUUUAAUUCUUAUUAUUUUUUAAUAAACUUUUAGUUAAAAUAAAGUUAAUUUUGAGAUUUUUUGUUUUAUUUUAUUCUAUUUUUUUUUAAAUAAUACAUAUUUUUAAAUAAUUUAUUUUUAAAUUUUAAACAAAUAAGUUAGUAGUUUUAGUACUAUCUUAAUUAUAUUUAUUUUAACUAUUUUAAAACUUUUAUUAUAUUUUCUUAAAUAUAAAAAUUAAUUAGUUAUUAUUAUAUUAUUUUUAUUAUUAUUAUUGUUAUUUUAUUUAUUUAUUUAUUUAUUAUUUAUAUUUAUUAUUAUCAUUGUCUUCUUUUUUUAAAAAAAAAAAAAAGAAAAAAGAAAAAAGAUUUAAAAUUUGAAAAUUCUAUCUUAUCCUAAACUACCCCAGCCACCCUCACUUUUCCCUCCAACUCUCUCAACUUCCCACCUUAUACCCUAUAUAACACACACACAGACAACAACAAUGAAAAAAAAUGAGGAUAACAAAAAGUACACAUUGUCGAAAACCAAAAAGAAAACACUAGCAUACAGACACACGAGAAAGAAGAAAAAAAAAGAAGAAAAACUAAGUGGUAAAAGCUAAGGAAGAAAACAUACUGGAGAUUGGGAAAACAAACAAAAAUUAAAAGGAACGGAUGAGAGUUAGAAAAAAAAAAGCAGUAGAAAAACAAAAGAAAGAAAAAAGAAACUUCUUUGGUUUUGGAGAUUAAGUUCAGUUCGUGUCGAGUUUUUGAUGACAUCAUUCAUGCUUCUCCUUUAUCUAGUCCAUUGUACAAGUUUUUAUUUAAUUUCACUGUAUUUAUAUUUGUCAAUUUCAUUGUGAAUUUAAGUAUGGUUGCAAUCGUUCAAUCGUUUCAUGCAUUAUUUAGUAUACCAAAUUAUAUGAAUUUGUAAUCAUGAAUUCUAUAUUUAGUUAUUCAAAGAUUUUACAUGAUCGUUAUAAAUAUAGUUUCAUGACGUGGUUUGAUCAAUUUUUCUCAAGUGUUGAUGUUCUUCAUUUGAUUAUUAAAUUUUGGAGUAGUUUACCAUACAUCAUCUUAAAUUGUUUGUUCUCUGUUAUGCGACCAAGAAUUCUUUUAUUAUGUAAAGGGAAUAUAAAAUUGGAAAUAGAAAAUACAUGUAAAAAACGAAAAUCACCGGUAUAUAUCAUUGUUCAUUUGUUUCCUCAGUACAUUAACAUUAUCCACACCAUAAACUGCAAGGAAAAAUAAACAAAACUAAAAUGAAAAAAAAUAAUUAUUAGGUAAUUUUUAUUUUUUAAUCUCUUUCACUCAAACUUAUCAUUCGAAUUUUCGAUCUAACGAUAUAAAGAUACUCUACUUUAUAUGUAUAUGUGAAAUUUUGUUUUCUUUUAGUUCUAAUCCCUUCUCAUGUGAAGUUAAUUAUAAUGUUCAUCUGUUGCAUGCCUUAUUUCAUUUUUAUUUGUUUGAUGAUUGAGUAUAUUAUUUGUAGUUAAUAUAAGAUUGAUCGAAGGAUUUGAUAUUAGCCAAAAAAUUUAUAGCUUAGGAUAUAAAUUUAAGAUCGGAGUAAUUUCGUAUUAAUUAACUAAGGUGAGAAUGAGCGAGAUGAGUUGUGGCUUUAUUCAAAAUCCGUCAUAAUAAAGAAAAGAGACCCAAAAAAGAGAAUAUAAAUAGAUAAAAUAAAAUUGUCUUGAGUUUACAAGAGAUAAAAUAAAUGCCUUUUAAUGCUAGAUAAGCUUUAAGAACGUUUGAUAUAUUUGUCUCGAUUAAAAAUGCGGUGUACGCAUCUUUUUGAGACCUUUAAAAAUAAUUCGAGGAUGCAAUAUUGCACUUCGGCAAAGUUCGUCUUAAAAUUAAUUUUCACCAGUUUAAUACAAGAGUUUUAAAUAAUUUUAGUAUAACAAAAUGAGCGAUCUUAGGGCCUACUAACAUAAUUUACUAAAAUAAUUUAAGUCAAGAUAAGUCAAUAAAGCGACCGUGCCAGAAUCAUGGGAUUCGAGGGGUGCCUCACACCUUCCCGUCACUCAACAAAAUUCCUUACCCAGUCUUCUGUUUUCGCAGACUAAUAAAGAGUCAUUUCCUUUUGAUUACAGAUUCAAAAAGAUGACUUGGAACACCAUAACUCAAUUCCAAGUGGCGACUCUGUAAUAAAUUAAUCCCUAUUCAAUACCAUCACUUUAAUUUAAAAAAUCCUUCGAACUCGAACCCCUCGGGCGAAAAAGGGGUGUGACAAUGGUGAAAAUAAUGAAAAUGUAGAAGAUGGGACGCGUGUGUCACACAUCCGGCAGCCAAAUCUGAAUAUAGAGUUUCAGGGGGGUAAUAAUUCCGUUUUUAAAAAGUCUAGGGGGUAAUAGGACCCCCGCAAAGUUCAGUAUGCUCCUCUGAAAAUUUGGUUAAAGUUCAGGUAUUUUCGUAGGUAUUAUCCCUAAAAAAUAUAUAGAAAGUGUAUAAGAAUUAUAUAAUUGUUGUACAAAAUGUGUAAAAAAAAAAAAUUAUUGUCUAAAUUGUGUAUCGAAACUAUAUAAUUUUCGUAUAGAAUAUUUAUAUGUAUAAGAUAUGUAUCGAAACUAUAUAGAAGGUGUGUAGAAACGGUAUAGAACAAGCCAGCAAAUUGAAAUUGCUAGAAACUGAAAUUUAAAUUCUAUGACCAUUUUCGUGGAAAUAGUUUAAUAUUAAGUGCCGUUUUUGUCCCUUCCCCCUAUAAUUUGAUGGACGUACUAUUUUGAUCGUCCCAUUUAACUACAGUUAAAUCUCGUUAUAAUGAUUUUUUACUAUAUCGGUGUAAUUUAGAAUCGAUUUUUCAUGUUAUAUUUUAUCUUUUUUUAUAGCAGCAUUCUACCUAUAAUUGCAAUCACAUUCAUUAUAGUAGUACACUCUUUGUAAAAUUAUAACAGUCAAACUCAAAUAUUAUCUAAUAAUUUGCAAGAAAUAUAUUACGUAUAAAAUUGAUGAAUAUGAACGCAACAAAGUCAUCCAUUAUCUAAUGACAAUAACUUCAACAUACAAAAAGUAUUAACACUUUUGUAAAAGUAUGGAAUGAUGUUAAGACCUCUACAAUUCUCCAUUGUUGGAGAAAUACCUAAAUUCUACCUACCAAUAAUAAUCCCAAUGUUAAUAAUGAAAUAAUAAAUUCUAUUUCUACCUAUCGAAAUAUGUUAGUAUUUUGUCAUCAUUUAUAGCUCAAAUCACAUCUCAUAAUAGCAAUCAAACCGUGGAUGCUACUAAUUAUAUGAAGUUUGACGUAUCACUUCUAAUACUUGAAAUUUAUAUUGAUCAAGAGAUUAUUGCACAAGUAAUUGAAGUGGAAGAACAAGAGACAAUGAAUGCAGAAGAUGAAUACGAAAGUGUUGAUGAAUAGCCUCAACCUACCGCUACUUGAGGUGUGAUAAAAGAGUCGAUUAUUAAACUCUUAAACGUUCUUCAAGAAAAAGUUAUUGAAUACCCUUUUGCUGAAUAUUUGAACAAUUUUUUUUCGUUAAUUCAAGUGAUAUAUUAUCACUAAUAGAUGAAACAACCUAUAUUUAUAGAAUUCUUACAUUAAAUUUGAAAUAUUUUAAAAAGUAUUUUUUUUUUAUAUAUUUUUAUUUAUAAUAGCUUAAUGUAAACAUCAUAUUCCACUGUAAAUAUAUAACGAAUUGAAGACGUAUCAUUUCUCACCAUAUCCUUUUCUCAAGAAUUUUCCACCACCUAAUUUUGUACUAGGAAAUUAGUGAAACUUGGACUCUUCUUAUUGGCAGUCUCUAUUUUCCUUUUGUUCUUUUGUACACUUAACAAGUCACGUAGUCUUUCAACUAUAUAAACUGUUAAAUAUUGAUUCAUUAAAAUUCAAUAGUUUUGAUACAAAGAUGGUACAUGUUGAGAAAUUCAAUAAUUAUAUGCAUAUAUGACAUUAGAAUCAUAUCAUAUUAUAUAAUAAGUAUAUAUUAUGAGCGAAAAGUUCCAAAGUUAAAAGUUAGUGUUCUUAUAAAGUUUAACAACUUUAUUAGUCUUCUAUUAAACACUAAUGAUCGAUGUGUUUUCUAUUUUUAUUUUUAUUUUUUUGAAUUUUUUCUUCAAUUAUAUUUCCUACUGUUCAAAUUGAUCGAUAUGUUUUGACUUGACAUAGAAUUUAAGAAAAUAAAGAAGAUUUUUGAGUUUUAUAGUUUUAAAUUAAAAAUAUACAAAUUUAUCAAAAUAUCCUCUAAUCUUGUGGUCUUAAAUAUGUCAUAUAAAAAAUAAAAAUUAAAGAGCUGCUAAAAAAAUGAUCAUUUAUUUGAAACGAACUAAAAAAAAUAGGUCAAAAAAAUUAAAAAAAAGGCAAUAAUUUUUUUUUUUUUUUCAGUCGAAGUAUUUUCAGGCUUUUUAAUUAGAGGUGUUACAUAUCUAUUCUGCGAAGUGCCGAAUAGAGUUGAAAGUGCAGUAGGUCAUGAAAAUGUUCUUGACAUGAAAUAAGAUAACUUAUGUAUGCAUAAUUAUUAAUAAAUAUUUAUUUUAAUUAAAUAUUUCAUCAUGAAUAUACAUUAAAGUUAUUUUUUUGAAAUUUUAUGAGAGAAGUAGGAGUGGAAAAAAAGUGAAAACAUGUUUUACUUAUUUUCUUUUCCAAAAAAAAUUCCACUUGAAAUAAUUCUUAUGACCAAACACUACAAUUUUUUUCCAAUAAAAUAAAAUAAUUAUAAAAAAUACGUAUAAGUAUCUAUGUUCCUUUUGUUUUUCUGUACACUUAACAGCAUGUACCUCACACAAUCUUUUUAACUAUAUUGAUGCUGGGAGCACAGAUAUAGUACAUAGACCAUUCGAGUGCGGCUCAAUUAUUUUAGUCAAAAAUUAUUUAGAGGUCUUAAGGUUUAAAAAUAUUAUUUUUUUCUCAAAAAAAUUUGAUUUUUCUAGUUUUUUAACAUGCAAAAUUAGUAGUUAUAGUUUUCUUAUUUUCUAUUUCUUUUAAUAAUUAUUUUUUUAAAUGAUAUUAUAACAAAUUCAUUUAUUCUUUGGAAUUGUUGAUCUUAGAUAAGAUUUUUUCAUAUGAAUUUUUAAAAAUGUAUUUGUGUUGGACAAUUGCUAUAGGAACUGUUAACAUUAUUCUAUAAGAAUAAUAGAAGAGAAACAAACUAAUUAUAAAAAUAUCUCUCUAUCUCUAAAGUUUACUAAUUUGAAAAAGCAUCAAGUCUUUUUAUCUACUUUAAUAUGUUGAUUAGAGUAUUAUUUUUUACUUGUACUACUUUCCCUUAAUUAACACUUUCAAUUUUGAAAAUAAGUCUAAAUAGUCAAUAUCAGGUUAUAUUUUAAGAAAAAUUCAAAUUUAAGACAAUAUUGUUUCAAACUCUCUUCAUCUGACAAUGUCAAAUAAGUAUUGAACUUAAAACUGCCAUAAUGUUUCAUGAAUUUGAAAAACUUUAAAAAAAAUUAUUUUCACUUCAAAUCAUUCACAAAAUUCAAAAAUAAAUUCGAUUUAUAUCCAUGUCCAAACAAACUCCAAUUUCCAAACAUUACUUUUAACUCAAAAAUAAAUAUUUUUUUUUUCUAAAUUUCAUAUUUUUUAUAUCCAAACAUCGCUCUAUUAUUUGUAAAAAAUAAGGCCCCCAAAAGCAAGUGUCUUACAUGCUUCACAGCCAGCUCUGAGACCAUUAAAUGUUCAUCCAAACUUAAUAGUUUUGAUUCUGAAUCUUGUAUAUACAUCACCAAAUUUUAUAUAUAUAUAUAUAUAAGUUAAAUUAGAAUUCAAUUACUAAUACUUGAAAUUAUUGUGUUCUAGAAUCCAUAAACUCAUAGAGGUUAUGAAAUUUUGAAUGUGUCAAGCAUUUUCUUAUUAUACUGUUUGAACACCCUUCUCCCUAAGGCACUUAUGGUGCAUGUUUUCUCUCUAGAUAUUCAUUCUAUCACAUCUUAGGUGAAUAUUGACAAAGCAUAAUAAUAUUGGUUAUCUAAGGAAGCAUUUCUUAUAGACCCUACUAACAAGUUUUAAAAUCGUGUGAAUCUAGAUAGAACGUAGAUAAUAUCACUUAUAUUAGCUGGGCUAGGUUUUUAUACAACUAAUAAUAAAAUACUUACGCAGAUCACCAACAACAAUUAUGGUGAAGUGGCAAUUAAAUUCUCAUUCAUCCUUAAUAAGAUAUUCUGAGUUCGAGUCCCUAAUACCGAUAUAUGUUCUAAGAAAUUAAAAAUAGCGGUCGUUCUUAAACUUGGGUUGCAUCUGCCUAAAAGUUUGAAUUUAGUGUUCCACUACCAUCCAAGUUCUUAACUUUGAAUUUUCUUUUUCCAUUAUUAUAUAUAUGUAAGUAUAAUGUUCAAAAAUUAAAAAAAAAAUUCCAGCUUGAAUAAUAGAUCCCCUAGGCCCAGAUACAUUACCUACAAGUUCUAGUAGCAACACACCUUGCACCAUUAUAUUGACUAGACAACAAGUCCAGCCAAACCAGUACAUUAUCAAAAACCAAAAUUUCAAACAAAUUUAACCACGUAAUUAGUAACUUAACAACGAUGUUGCCCCAUUUUUACCCUAUAAAUACCCUUCAAAUUACUCCCUAAUAAACAUCAUCACUUGUCCAAUUUACUACUCACCAAAAAAAAGAAAAAUGAGAGCUUCAAUUUUUAUUCUCUUUGCCCUUUUCUACUUCACUUAUAAUGCCAAUGCAGCCACUAUUGUAGUUCGUAACAAUUGUCCCUAUACUGUUUGGGCUGCCGGUGUCCCGACCGGAGGCGGCAAACGUCUAGACCGUGGCCAGACGUGGACCAUCAACCCCCCUGCAGGGACGAAACAAGCUCGAAUUUGGGGCCGAACCGGAUGCAAUUUCGAUGCAUCUGGUAAGGGAAAAUGUCAAACAGGAGACUGUAACGGUCUCCUAGAAUGUAAAGCAUUUGGGGUACCCCCAAAUACAUUAGCUGAAUAUGCCCUAAACCAAUUCUCGAACAAAGACUUUUUUGAUAUUUCUCUAGUCGAUGGAUUCAACGUUCCUAUGGAAUUUAGUCCAACUUCCAAUGGGUGCACCCGUGGCAUAACAUGCAAAGGUGAUCAAAUUAAUCAACAGUGUCCUAGUCAAUUGAAGGCUCCUGGAGGAUGUAACAAUCCUUGUACUGUCUUCAAGACUGAUCAAUAUUGUUGCAACUCAGGCAGCUGCGGCGCCACGAAUUUUUCGAGGCAUUUUAAGGAGAGGUGUCCUGAUGCAUACAGUUACCCUAAGGAUGAUCAGACAAGUACUUUCACUUGUCCUGCUGGUACUAAUUAUAAGGUUGUGUUCUGUCCUUGAAAUUUGAAUGGAUUGUAUUCAACUUUUGUAUUAAUUUGAAUAAGGCUACGUUGUCCUCUUAGCUAGGAGGACUAGUUAUUGUAUGGCCAAGUAAUAAUAUUGUGUUGUUACUCAUCAUGUAGUGAUGUAAGUUACUGUAUUAUAGUUAUUUUGUGACAAAUUAAAGUAAAAUAAAGAACGUAUUUAUGAUGGUAUAGUUUGGUUACUUUCAUCUUCUUCUGAGGAGUUUUAAGUUCUAUGCGGUUUAAGAAUAAGUAAUUUAAUUACACCAUUAGGCAUUAGAUGUAGGUGAAUUUUUGAUCGCUAAUAUGACAAAAAAAUGAUACUUAACCUGUCAUUACUGGUUAAAAUUAUUCAUUUUUAUUUUUUGAGAAUUAAUGACUUUGAAGUUUCCUGUAUGACUUGAAAUUUGUAAUUUGGUUACACCAAAAAGUACUCCCUCCGUUCCACAAUAAGUUAAUUAUUGAAUUUUGGCACACAUGUUAAGAAAAAAUGCAAAGACAUAAAUUUAUCAUGUCUUUCCAUUUUUACCCUCUUCAAAAAGUAAAGACACAUGAUACAUCACUCUCAAUGCACAUUUAAUGGAGGGUAAAUUUGAAAAAAAUUUCCAACAUUUAUCUUGAAUUGUGAACCAUUUACUUAUUUUAAAAUAUUAAAAUUGCUCCAACAAACAAUUCAGUUAUUGUGAAACGGAAGGAGUACACCAAAUACGAGACGAGGAAAAUCGUCAAUGAAGAAUCAUGGUCCUUUUAGGGGACACGUGUCCAGAAAAAUUGUGACAUUAGUUUUUGUUUUUGGGUCCAAGACAUAGAAGAAGAAUAAUUGUCAAAGUAGUGAGACGCUACAACACUAACAAUUAAUAUACCAAAAUUUCUUAUUUGUUAUUAAUAUAUUUGUAUUAUAUAUAUUUAUUAGAAAAAAAGUUUAGAAAUUUUGAUUUUUGGAUCGAGUCAACUUCUCCUAUAAAGUGGUUCUCUUUCGUGUGAUUAAUAUAUCCCUCAAGAAAACCCUCACCCCUUCCUCAAAAUUAAUAAGAAGCUCUCUUCUUUUUUCUUCGUGAUUAUUCUUGUCUUAGCAAAGAAUUAAUAACAGUAUCAAACAUUCAAUCUACUGCUACUGACUGAUCAAAAAAAUAGGCAAAGGACUUGAUUAUAGUAUAGAUGGAAUGUUUUCGUGAAUAUCAGAUAAUCAAUCAAGCACUUGGGGCAGAGACUUUAUUUUGCCAAGAUGGAGUUGCUGAAUACUCAAUCACUUAAGCAAGCCUCAGAGAGUUUAUUUUACCAAGACGGAGUAGCUGAAUACUCAAUUUUUAUCUACUUAAAACAGACAACACCUAGCUUUUAUCACUAGCCCAAUAAAUAUUAUCAAAGUUAAUAAUUUGACGAGAUAAAUAUGGAGGAUGUGGAGCCUGUUUUGCUGCCUUUAUUUGGAACUUGGAGGUGCGCCACCCAAAAGAAAAAUAAGAGGAAAGAAAGAAAGAAGAAGAAGAAAAUUGUAUGUAAAUUUCUAUGGUCAUACAUACUCAAAAAUAUGGAUAACACAAGAUAAAUCAGAUUAACCCUUGAAUCUUAGUGAUAUGGUAUGUAAAAUUAAGAUAUGAUAGUCUGAUAAUUCGUGAUGUGAAAUGUAGUUCGUGGAGGUGAUUAUUAGGUGUGCAAAUAUAGAAGGUAUACCCAUACGGAGUAAAAAUAUUUUUACCGGAGUGAGGUUCUUUGAGGAGAAUCUGAAUGUUUCAGACUUCAGAUCAUUAAAUGUAUUUAUUUUUCAGUGAGAUUUUAGCUCUUAAUGGGUCUUUAAUCAUUCAGAUUAAAAUCAAAUCUUAAUAGGUCUGAAGAGGUAUUUUGGUGUUGGAUAAUAUUUAUCGCCACUCUAUUCAUAAUCAUUUGUCAUCAUCUCUGUCACCGCCAUCAUUGUCAAUGACCACCCACCACCAUCACAACCACUAUCGAUAACAAAUAUCGCUAUCAAUCACAAUUGACAAUCGCUACCACACUUACUACCUCUAUUAUUCUAAUUAUAUUUACCGCCACCACCGUCAUCACCACCACCACCAUCAUCAACCACUACCGGCCAAUCCCUACUAUUGACCAACUCAUCUAUCACAACUAGCACCACCGCUAACUACCACUAAUACAUCACAACCUCUACACAUUCUUCGGCAGCCACCACCAUUUUCACUAGUAAGGUACCUCUACCAUCACUUCAAUCAUUAUCAUCGCUAUAAUUUAUCUCUACUAACAACCAUCUCCACCAUCACAACUAACAACAUCUCCAACUAGCACCAACACAUCGUCAACCAUCGUGGAUUCAUUUUCAGCCAUCACAAUCAACAUCUCUAACUACUAACAUCAAGCAACGUCACAUCACAACCACCACCACCACUAUUAACCGUCAUCAUAACAAUCACUACAAUACCAACUAUCACAACUAUCACGAUUAACAUUACUAAUCACUAACAUCAAUCAUUAUCACCACAACCACCAUUAUAAACCACCUCCACUAUCACUAACAAGCAUAAAUAUUUUUUUUUUUCCAAUCAAAUAAAUAAUUUUAUUAUAUUAAAUUACAUACUUUUCUAAUAUAUAAUUAAUUUUUUAUUUAAAUUAUAUUUUUUAUUUUAUAAUAAAAAAACAAUUUUUUUUUACACAUUCAAAUAUUAAAAAAUAAACAGUUUUAAUCAUUUAGUUUGUAGAUACAUAAUUUUAUCAGCCCAAAAAUUAAUUUCUACUAAUUUUAUCUACCCUGCCCCUGCCCCUACCCCUACCUAAUCUUACCCCUAUACUGGCACACCCACGUGCGCCCUCCAUUUGGUCAACAAAAAAACAAAUACUACAGUCACUCACAGAAGACACAGAUUACACACAUUACAUUAUCUACACAAGAUAACACUACACAGGGGGAUUCUCGGCACAAUUUUUGUCCACCAAACACACUGCCAUAAACACCUUCACAUAUUCACACACAUCUCCAUCUCCAUCUCCAUUCUUUUCAUGGAUUAGCAACAACCCAAUUCACAGACACAACCUCACUUUCACAGUCAUAGACAUACGACACACGGGAAAAUAAAAAAGAGGGUGAAGGACGAGAUUGAGGGAAGAGAAUAACAUGAGAGAGGAAAGGACAAAGAGAAUCGAGUGAAUGGGGUUGAAUGGAGAGAGAGAGGAGAUCGAGAGAUUUGAGGAGAGAGAGAUUGAGAUCCAGGGAGAUGAACGGAGAAGGGGUAACAGAAUAAAUCCGGCGUUUUGACUGUUUUUCUAGCGAACCUUUUCGCCAGAAUUGGUUUACAGUUGUCCGAGUAUUAUUUCCUUGAUACCGAGUUGGAUUCUUGUUCGCUGUUGAACUUCUAUUCAGAAUUUCAACUCCGGGCUUUCUUGAACAUUAUUACCAACGAAAUCUAUUCUUCGAAGGUCUAAUUCUAUCUUCUCUCCCUCUAAUGUUACGUAAUUAUGAAUGAUUUGUGUGUUUGACAUGUUUGAAUCUUUGUCUUGUUGGUUAAUGUUGGAUUUGAAUGCGAAAACUUGUUUGGUGGAUUGCGUAUUGAAUUUGUUUAAUCAUGUUGAGAAUGGAUGUGGGGUUGAGAAUUGAAAACCGAUAGGAAAUGAGUGUAUUGGUUCAUAUCGAUUAAUUCAUGUUUAUUUGAUGCACAAUAGGCGUCAAUUUGCUAAGUUUGAUAAUAUCCUAGUAUGCAAAUGCUAAGUCGGGUGGCCAAUUUUAGGAGUGGUAUUUUGUUGAAAGUUUGAAUGUGCGUGUGAACAUUUCUUUAUACUUUAUCGCAUAAGCUUUGAUGAUGUAUUCAUUCACCAGGGAAUGUCAUGAGAUUAUGUUGUACUUAUUCAAUGGGGAAUGUCCCGAAGUAUUUUGUACUCGGAGGACGUCCGUGACAAAGGCUCGAGGCAUCGGGUAAAGUGUUGGAGCGUAGUUUAGGAUUAGUGUAGAUUAACGUAGGUUUACAUUUAUCCAUUUUUCUAUUUUAGGAUUGUAUAAUUGGACUGGACAUUAUAUUUUUUGCAAUUCAUUUUGUUUGUGUUGGUGUGUUUAAUUGUUGUGUGUUUAUGUGGUUUAUACAUUCCGUAGACACUUAAUUUUGUCCCUCCUGAAGUCUAAUUUUAUUCAUUUUUAGUUCACCUUACCAUGUGUCCAACCCCAUGUAAUUAUAUCCCACAAAAAUACAAAAAUAAACAAAAAAACAAUACCUCUAACUAAUUUAUCUUAUCCUAACAACCUACCCAAUCAAAAGCUUCCACCUCCCUAACCACUCACAUUUUUAUCCUCACAAUAACAAACUAAAAAAAAGAAUAUAUGGGGGACCCACCAAAAUUUUCACAUCAUAACAAAUUCAUGCCCAUUAUAAAAGAAAAAUUCUAAGAGGGCAAAAGGGGAGGCUUAUUCUUUGAUCAUCAUCUUCUCCAUAAUAACAACAAUCGCAAAAUAAUCUUCCUCACAAGAACAACAACAACAACAAAAAAAAGGGACGCUGGUGAAUAGUAAUCGGUGAACAGUAACAACGUGAAAAGUGACGGUGAACGGGUCAUUAUUUGUCGAGUUGGAUUAUUGGUGUUAAGGUUCGGCUCGAGGUUUCCGGGUGCGGACUUUCUUUAUUCGAAUAACAUUGAGUUUGAAAGCUUCAAAUUUAAGGUCCAAUUCUUUCUUCUCUUUUAAUUAAUUCUUAUGUGAUUGUGAUUGUGUGUGAUUCGAUACCGUGGUUUGUUUGUUGAUGUGAAUUGUUGGUGACAUUUGGGUGUGUGAUGUGCUAAGCAUGAUUGGUGAAUUUUCGUUAUUCUCGAUUGGUGGAUUGUGUAUUGAAAUGAAUUAAUCACGUGGUUGAAAAUGAAUUAAGGUAGGGAUUAAAAAUGGAGGAAAAUUAACAUUGAUUAAUUUUGAUGUAUUGAUAAUGUUGAACAUGAUAGAAUUGUGAUACGUUGAACUUGGUAGGCAAACGUAGGCCGGGUAGGCAAAUUUAGGAAUAACGAUUUGUUGGAGUGUUUGAAUAUGUGUGUGAAUGGUACUUUCUACUUUAUUGCACGAAAAGGUUAAAUUGUACUCAUUUGGUCGGGGAAUGCCCCGAAGUAGCAUGUACGCAAAGGAGGCUCGUGAUCAAGGCCCGGAACGUUGGGUGGAGUUUAGUUUAGGAUUAGUUUAGAAUAAAAUAAGUUUUAUAUUUCAGCACCUCUUUUAUUUUGAAUUGUAUAAUUUGGACUGAACAUUAUUUUGGUUUGUUUUGAAUUUUGUGUGAUUUGUUUGUUUGCUUGUUUUGUGUGUUUAUGUGGUUUGUACAUUUGUAAUGUCAAAUUAGCCGAUACGAUUCACCAAGCGACCGUGGUCGAAUCACAGGAUCGAGGGGUGCCUAACACCUUCCCCUCGGUCAACAGAAUUCCUUAGCCGGAAUCUCUGUUCGCGGAUCAGUUUUUAGAGUCAAACCGUUUUGAAAAGGAUUUUUCAAAGGUGACUUGACACACCGGAUUAUGUCAAAUGGCGACUUUGAAUAAAAAAAAAAUAGUAAUGUAAAUAAUUCUUUUUUUUUUCAAAACAAAUUUUUCAUUUUUGUCACUUUAAUAAUAAAACCCUUUCGAACUUAAAAUACAUUUCUUUUUUUUGGAGUCGAAAAAGGGGUGUGACAACUCUGGCGACUCUGCUGGGGAACUUGUUCAGAAUUCGAGCUUAUUUUGGAGUCGUAUCGGCUUUGUUUGGCACUAUAGGUGUAUAAACAUUUUUUUUUGUGUGUUGUUUUGUGUUAUUAUUUUAUCAUUAUGGAAUGUUUUCGUGCUAUUUGUAUACAGUGUUUAUCCUAUAUGUUACCGCUUUUAUAUCUGGCAUCAUGUGUCUACCCCCAAGCCUUUUUUCUGCAACAAGUUCGUAGUACACGUGUUGUACACGACCUCUAGUUGAAUCACCCUUAUUUUAGGGGGGGAGCCGUCGGUGUUAUGGAGUAGGUAGAAAGCAAAGCAGUCAUUAUCGACCAUACGCUCUCCCGAACACCCUUGUUAGUAAACCCCAAUGUAGGUCAGCCUUUAGGUCAUGCUUAUGUGCAUCAUAUUGAGACCUAGCGGGGCCCACUUGGUCCUUUGUAGGAGAUUCACCUCUAAAGCAUCUCUACGUGCUAAAUGUUGCAUCUUUGAGAAUAACGUGGUCAUUUGAUGGAUUGAUUUGGGAAAACAUGUGUUAGAAGUAAUAUGUGUGAGUAAUGAAAAAAAAAAUAAGAAAAAAAAAGAGUUUCGUAGCUUUUAGAGUUUUUUAUGACUUUUAUUUUUCAAAAUUCCAAAAUUCAAAAGGACUUUUUUACCUCCCGCACUCAUUUUCUCAAAAAUAUCAAAAAGAUUUUCCUUUGUCUCGUUUAGCAUGCAUUCACAAUUCGAAAACUUCAAAAAGAUUUUUUCAUUCAUAGGAUGUGUUUAUAAAAGAAAAAUUAAAAAAAAAAAAAGAUGUUAGAAAUUUUUUACAUUUCGUAUAACGAAAAUACCAAAAAGAUUUUUCUUUCAUAGUUGUUGAUAUCAUUUUUCUGUGAAGUAUCAAAAUGAAAACUCAAAAGAUUUUAUUAACAUGGUUCAUCGUCUGUCUUUGGUCGUAUCUCUUAAGUCAGGGUCUAGCCUGUUAUUUCAUCAUUAAUUGUCCAAUCUGGAUGAACUACGCACCCCUGAUUCUCCUCUUUUGGGAGUGAGAUACGUAGGCAGCCUAUUGUUGGUUCGGGGAUCUUAUUUGAAAAAUCCAAAAAAUAUUUCUUCACUCUCCAUUUAGAGUAGGCGUUUAAUAUACGUCUUUAAAAGAAAACUACAAAAAGAUUUUCCUUUAAUAGGUUCAAGUUUCAUUUUCACAUGAACUUCAAAAAUCGAAAAUCCAAAAAGAUUUUUCUUUGGUAAUCACAGGUUUUAUUUUUUAUAGAGAUUUAAACCUAAAAAAAAAAAGAUUUUCGUCAAUUCUUUUGACACUUUGUUUCAAGAAAGAAAAAAGAGUUUAAUUGGCCAUUUUGGCAAAACUUCACGAACUACGCACACCUGAUUCUCCCCUUUUGGGGGUGAGAUACAUAGGCACCCUUGUUGGGUUCGGUGAUCUUUUCAAGAAAAAAAAGACGUUUUAAAAAAAAACUGUUGAACUCUUGCAUCACCUGAUUUUCCUCUCUCGGGGGUGAGAUACGUAGGCUGCCUUACUCUGGGCUCGGUCCAACCAAAUAAAUAAUUUAGAAUUGCCCAGUUAAAAGAAAUUGGGGCAUGAGUUAAUACUCAUUGUUUGAGUCAAUUUCAAAAGUUGUAAGUCCCACCCCACUUUAAGUGUCGUUUGGGCCUCAUGCCACCCUUUCUUUCUAACCAUAUCCAAAAGCCAAGUUACAGCCAAAGAAAAACCUUCAAAAUAAAUCUUUGAAAAUGUUAAGGCUAAGCAUGUAAUGGAUGUGAUGAUGCAUUUAGGCACUACUUGUUUUCUGCAGCAUAAGAAAUCAGGAGAGAAAUAAAAAUGAGAGAGUCUUAUUGGUGAAAACCCUCACAGGUACCAUAAGAUGAUGGUAAGUUGAGAGAUAAAAAUGAGAGAGUCUUAUUGAUGAAAACCCUCACGGGAACUGUAAGACGACUGUGAGUUGAGAGAAAUGAAAAUAAGAGAGUCUCGUUAGUGAAAAAAACUCUCGGAUACCGUAAGGCAAUGGUGAGGUGAUAAAAAAGAAAACAAGAGAAGAUUGUUGGCAAAAAUCCUUCAAGGCUCUACUAGCCGAAUGAGGUCUCCGAAUGCAAUUGGCCCAAGGAAGCAUCUCAGUUUCAGGGUCAUUAACUCAACAACAAUUUAUGAGAAUUUUGGAUGGAAAAUCAGGCAGUUUAAUUCGAUAUGCAUGUCAUAAUCAUUAGAGUUGACUGUCAUUUCCAGAUAAACUUUUCUUUUAUCUUUUUCAAAUGUGGACGUUCAUUGUCUUUUCUUUCUUCUAUGCGUUUUUAUUUUAUUUUUUUGAGUUAGUUAUCCAAAUAAAAAAAAUCAUUGUCAUUUUUUCUCUUGUCUUUGAGUCAAGUCCAUAUUAAAACAAGUGAGAAAAGAUUUCAAAACUGGCUCCCAGCUUCUUCAAUUGCACAAAGUAAAACAAAGGGCCAACACAUGAAAUAAACAAGAUUGCAAAUCAGAACAAGACACGCAACAAGUUUUUGUCAACACACAAAUUUGGAGAAUUCAUGGAAAUACUGAAGUUUAAAGGGGAUUGUCUGAGAAACAUAGCAAAGCAGAGAUACUGUUGUUUGUUUCAGAGUCACUCUUAAUAUUUUGAGUGUGAACCAACGGUGCAACAAGGCAAUGGAAAAAGCUAAUGAUGGGAAGCAAGAUCUAAAUGGGAAAAGUGAAAGAGAAAUCUUCUCGAAUGCCAAAGCCGCAUGCCAACCACCCUAUUUUAAACUCACAAGUUUUCUUUGUAUGAAACAAGAACAACUGCUGUCUUCAAAUCGAAGGCUUCAAAUCGCGAAUAUUCAGAUGUGCAAUUCCUCAUUUCUGCAAAUGCAAAAGUAGUGUUGUUGUACAGGUUUGAUAAUCACAAUUUUGGUAAAACUCGUCAUUUUUGUACACCUAAGAGACACAUUCUCUAAUUUGAGUCUUUUAUGUCUCAUGGCUAGAGGGUGAUUUUCAUAAUUUGAGUUGUUAAUCCUAAGAAAUGAACUCUUAGUGAGAAUCUUUCACCUUUACUCUUUAGAGAGGGGCUUGUUGGUUUCAAGCAUUCAACUUUACCCUAAAAAAGGUGCAUUUAUUGAUCAGAAUCUUGAUUUAUCUUUGCAUUAUGCAUUGUCGCAAGUAGUUGUGAUUGCGUUUGACACCCGCAAAAGCUUUUGAUGAUGAACUGGGGUAAAAAGAAAAUUUAAUUCCUGUUAUUUGAAACUUAUGUUCAGGAUCCUCCUGAAAAAUGGGAAUUUACUUUAUGUUCUAAACCCUCCUGGAAAAUGGUAACUUACUUUAUGUUCAGGACUCUCUGAAAAAUUAGAAUUUACUUUAUAUUCGGGACCCUCCUGGAAAAUGAAAAUUUACUUUAUAUUCGGGACCCUCCUGAAAAAUGGAAACUUACUUUAUGUUCAGGACCCUCCUGAAAAAUGAAAAUUUACUUUUUGUUCAGGACCCUCCUGGAAAAUGGAAACUUACUUUAUGUUCAGGACCCUCCUGGAAAAAUAAAAAUUUACUUUGUGUACAGGACCCUCUUGAAAAAUGGAAACUCACAUUAUUUCAGGACCCUCCUGAAAAAUGAGAACAUUAUAUUCAAGACCCUCCUGAAAAAUAAAAAUUUAUAUUAUGUUCAGGACCCUCCUGAAAAAUGGGAGUUUACCUUUAUAUUCACGACCCUCCUGGAAAAUGGGAACUUACUUUCAUCCAGGACCCUCCUGAAAAAUGAAAACUUACUUUAUAUUCAGGACCCUCCUUGAAAAUGGGAAUUUACUUUAUGUUCAGGACCCUCCUGAAAAAUGGAAAUUUAUUUUAUGUGCAGGACCCUCCUGAAAUAUAAAAAUUUACUUUAUGUUCAGACCCUCCUGGAAAAUGGGACAUUAUCUUAUGUUCAGGACUCUCCUGAAAAAUAAGACAUUACUUUAUGUUCAGGACCCUCCUGGAAAAUAGGACAUUACUUUAUGUUCAGGACCCUCCUGGAAAAUGGGACAUUACUUUAUGUUUAGGAUCCGCUUGAAAAAUAGGACACUACUUAAAAAAAAUAAAUGAAUGAAAUCUUUCUUUAUCAUAAUCUUUGUUUGGAAUAAUUUUCGUUCUAGUUUUGAUUUUGAUUUUAGGAGCCCGCCUGAAGAACAAGGUGAUGAAGCUGUAAGUCAGGAGCCCGCCUGAAGAACAGGGUGAUAAAAUUGCAAGUCAGGAGCCCGCCUGAUGAACAGGGUGAUGAAAUUAAAAGUCGGGAGCUCACUCGGAGAACAAAGUGAGAAAAUUCCAAGUCAGGAGCCCGCUUGAAGAACAGGGUGAUGAAAUUAAAGUGUUAUCUCUAAGUGUUAGUUUUGUUCCUCACUAACACGUUGAGUCUAUAUCUAGAUUUGAGCUUUAAAAAUUGAUGUUGUUGUUGUGAACAUAAGACUUGGCUGAAUUAUUGUUGAAACAUUAUUAUGGUGGACUGUUUUGGCCUUGUGGUCUUCAUCUUGUUGUUGUUCUAAGCUUGGACACGUGGCAUUUUUGCUCAUUGGUGGCCUAAGAACUAUCUUGUUGAAGUUGUAGUUGUCUUGGCCAAGUGUUGAAGAUAUUGUCUUGUGAAAAUCGGAAGUUGGUCGUGUGAAAAUUGUUGGUGUUCUUGGAGAUUGUUGUUGGUUGUUCUGGGUGAUUGUUGAUGUUGUUCAUGGAGUUCUUCACAACCUUCAUAGCUUUUUAAAAUAAAGCGAACCUUAGAUCUAUAAAGGUGAAGGGAAAAGGUAAAGCUUUGUUAGUCUUGAAAGACUUACCAUCACUCAUCAACUAGUCAAUCAUAUCUCAACCACUUUAAAACAACUUUCCAUGAUUCAAGAAUCCAUGUUUUAAGGGUAGUAUAAGUCUAGUCAAAGACAUUUGAGUCUUGAAUUUUGAAUUGAAAAGAAGCUCCAAAAACUAGUUUGUAUUUCCCUUCAUUGAACAAGUUCCACCAAAGGUCCCAUAUUGAAAAUCGACCAAACCAAUACGUGGCUGCCACAUCACGUUUUACUGUUCACCCAACAGAAUUUUAAGCUCAAAUUUUGAUCUUUUAGUUUCAUUGUGUUGUCUCUUUAGUUUCGUUUGUUGAUUCCAUUACUAACGUACGAGAUAGUACUAGAUUGUAAGUUAGUUUUGAAACCGUUCUUUGUGUUAACUUUCCUUUGUGUGUUUUAAUCCUUUGAGUCAUUGUAACGUCCUUGUGUUUUUUUUCCUUACUCUUUGGAGUCAUUUUCAACAUUGGAUUCACCUCUCAACACCUCUCGGAGUACAAGCAAGCUUUUAAUACUUGUGAGAUUGAGUGUGAGGGAUCCGAGAGACCUGAAAUAGAAGAGAGAGUGGGGAUAUUUGUAUAACUAACGUGUUUUCUAUUUUGUAGGUCACUUCUUUGCCACAAUGGAUACCAUUUUAGCCUACCUUGAUGCUAUUGCCCGAGAAAUAGAUAAGGCGAAUGUGGGUCUUGAAAAAUUGGGCUCGGAUAUGUCUACUAUACUUGAGAGGUUGGAUCGAGUGGAGAGUCGAAGGAAUUCUCGUGAUUCUACUUCCGAAUCUUUACCUCAAGCAAUCAAUCCUCUAAUACCACCACCAAAUGACAUAGAAAUAAGCUAAGCUACCAAAUGUCCUCUAACCCGAGACCUACAUAGGUCGAUCCCUCCUCCAUUAGAUCAAGUCCAAUAAAAAGGACUUGGAAGCCAAAUCUCUCUCGUCCAAGCUCCACAACCGAAGCUCCACUUUACCAAAUCAAUCCUCUCAAUGGAAACUCCACUUCACCAAAGCCGACAUGUCCAUGUAGAGGAGAAUGGUAGAAAAGAACAUGACGGAUAUGGAUUCUACGACGAUGCUUGUAUGAUGGUAGGAGACUUGUUUCGGAUGAGAUUGAAGACAAGGUUCAAAAUAGAGAGGAAGACGGGAUUCAAAAUAAAGAUGUUGGCCAAGACUUGUGUUAAUGUUUUGCGGGCUAUUUUGAGUGGUUUAUUUUAAGGUGGUCGAUUGAACAAGGUGAAGUCGUGAAUUUGUGGGCAAAUUCCUUUCAAGAUGGAGAGGACGAUACAGGAAUAAUCAUGGAUAUGGACUUAUGGGAGUGCAUUUUGGGUCCGAGACUUGGUGUCUGCAAUUGAAGUGUAAAAAGGAACCUAAGUGCACUAAAAAUCAGCCAACAUAUUACACUUGAUAGGCACCUAAGUCUCUAAGGGGCCUUUUGUUUUUUUUUUAAUUAUUUUAUUUGUAACCUAGUAUAAAUAGAACAUUGUAGGGUUUUUAGACUUAGUUUAUUGAUGAUGUUGUAAGUAUUAAGACAUUGGAAAACGCAAGUCCUCUCUUCUCUUUGGAGGUAAAACCAAAACUAGGAUACAACAAUAGGGUGAAUUCUUUUUUUUUAUGUUUGCUUGGAAACAUUGAUGCUUGGGAGGUGGAUUCUGAUCUUGUGUCUUUGUAAGAGAUAGGUUUAUUGUUGUGUGUAGUGUUAAGGGUCCAAGAUUGUCCAUUCUUGGGUUCUUAAGAUUAUAUCUUCAUGUAGUCUAUCUAUCUAUCCUUUUACCUUCUUGUAAUCUUGUUUAUUGUUUGUGUUGUAAUCUUGUGUUCUUGUUGUUAUUGUUAAAUCCGAAUCUUGUGUCUUCUUUUUUAUCAUCUUGUGUUAAUCUUGUUCUUGUUCUUUUUGCUGUUUUGGUGUUAAAAUACACAUUGUAUCUUGUACCCAUCUUGUUGAUAGCGAAUCCGAGAGUGGUCUCCAUCUUGGUCCUCAGAUCCUUAAGAUUGUGGACUGAUUUGGAGUGUGUUUUUUGCCUUUCGUUGUCAUUCUUGUAUCAUACCUAUCCCCACCCCCACCUAAUCUUACCCCUAAACUAGCACACCCACGUGCACCCUCCAUUUGGUUAACAAAAAAACAAAUACAACAUACACUCACUCAUAGAAGACACAUAUUACACACACUACAUUAUCUACACAAGACAACACUACACAGGGGGAAUUCUCGGCACAAUUUUUGUCCACCAAACACACUGCCAUAAACACCAUCACAUAUUCACACACAUCUCCAUAUCUAUUUUUUUCAUGGAUUAACAACAACCCAAUUCACAGACACAACCUCACUCUCACAGUCAUAGAUAUACGACACACGGGAAAAGAAAAAAAAGGGUGAAGGACGAGAUCGAGGAAAGAGAAUGACAUGAGAGAGGAAAGGAUAAAGAGAAUCGAGUGAGUGGGCGGAGAGAGAGAUUGAGAUCAUGGAUAUGAAUGGAGAAAUGGUAACAAUAGAAAUCUGGUGUUUUGACUGUUUUUUCGGCGAACUUUUUCGCCAGAAUUGGUUUACAGUUGUCCGAGUAUUAUUUCCUUGAUACCGAGUUGGAUUCUUGUUCGCUGUUGAGGUUCUAUUCGAAAUUUCAAGAACGGGUUUUCUUGAACAUUAUUACCAACGAAAUCGAUUCUUCGAAGGUCCAAUUCUAUCUUUUCUCCCUCUAAUUUUACGUAAUUACGAAUGAUUUGUGUGUUUGGCAUGUUUGAAUCUUCAUCUUGUUGGUUAAUGUUGGAUUUGGAUGUGAAAACUUGAUUGGUAGAUUGCGUAUUGAAUUUGUUUAAUCAUGUUGAGAAUGGAUGUGGGGGUGAGAAUUGAAAACAGAUAAGAAAUGAGUGUGAUUGGUUCAUAUCGAUUAAUUCAUGUUUGUUUGAUGCCAAAUAGGCGUCGAAUUUGCUAAGUUUGAUAAUAUCACAUUUUAGAUCGAAACUAGUAUGCAAAUACUAAGUCUGGUAGGCAAAUUUUAGGAGCGGUGUUUUGUUGAAAGCUUGAAUAUGCGUGUGAACGUUUCUUCCUACUUUAUCGCAUAAGAUUUGAUGAUGUAUUCAUUCACCGGGGAAUGCCCUGGGAUUAUAUUGUACUUAUUCACCGGGGAAUGCCCCGAAGUAUUUUGUACUCGGAGGACAUCCGUGACGAAGACCCGAGGCAUCGAGUAAAGCGUUGGAGCGUAGUUUAGGAUUAAUGUAGAUUAGCGUAGGUUCACAUUUAUGCAUUUUUCUAUUUUGGGACUGUAUAAUUGGACUGG